UUUAUUUCAUACAUACAACCUAACUUGAACAUUAUCUGCAGGCAAAUGGGAAAUAGUCAAUUCAAGUAACAGGACAUGCCCACAUUUUUGUAUUGAUGAUACAUCACUCUCAGAGCAGCUGGGAGUUAUAUGGAGUUAAGUAGGUCAUAAAAUUGAUUGGACACUCCUCUUUUCUUUGACCUAAAUUAGUUAGGCAAUUCAUUAAUGGUGAGAAAGAGCACAUCAGUACUGUGUUGAAUCAGCUGCCAUCUACACCCAAUAAAAAAUUGUAAGGUGCUCCAGAAACAUUCUCUUAUUCAAGGUAAAUUUAAAUCUUCAUUAUAGCAUUAUUAUGGAAAACACUAAGCAUGCCUAAUCACUUUAUAUGCAGAGCUUUUUAGUGUCCACGAUUCAAGAGAACUAAUGUUUGAGGCUUAUACAUGUAAUCUUCCGUUAGCUGUUGCUUUCUCCCCCUCGGCCCCCUCCUCUUUCAUUCUCCAAACAAAAGAGUUGUGGCCAAGAAAGACCAAGAAUUGGCUGAUCAAUGUAACAAAGUGACGAAGUCAAGAAUGCUUUGAUUGGAGGAGGAAAUUUUUUCAUUCAGAGUUGCAUGACAACGAAAUUCGGCAGUACCAAACUGCCAAGCCACACAAACUCCACGUCCACAAACAGUGACACCGACAGAAACCUCGCUUUCCAGAGACUCGGUAAACAUGCAAAGUUAACCAACGUAAGUUGCAACAAAAUCACAGCUAUUUUCUCUUUUUGAUUCUAUCUCUGGCACUAGCCAGCAAACGUUAACAGAAACCUUUGUACAGAAAAAUAACAGCCAACUAAUCUCGUCAGAUAAACCAAAAAAAGCGGGUGACUUCGUAGAACUAAAUCGAAGCAGGACGGAAGUUGUUGUAUUCUCUAGUUCAUGAUGAGAAAAUUUUGAUCCCUCCUCAUAUGUCACGCCAAACAAAAUUCAACAUUGAGUUCCCUUCCAAUAGAAUACCAGCCCUUGUUCUUCACGCCAAGCAAUAAGUAUGCAAUUUUAAAGGACGAAAGCUACCGAUUUCAAUCUAAAAAACUCCCAACUUUCGGCCACCUAGUGGAACGAUGCGAACGAAGGAACGAGAAGGAUUGAGACAAAGGAUCCUACCUUUCCGAGCGUGUAUGCCAGCGCAGAUCCAGCUACCCCGGCUCCGACGAUGAUGACGUCCGACCCGCCGUCGCCGGCGGCGCCUGCGCCGUCACCGGUCGCACAGGCAGCCUCCGCCGCGGCUUUCUCUUCCACCAGCGGCGACCGGGGCCCGGACCCGCGGCGGCGGCCCAGCACGGCGGCAACAAGGACCGCCGCUAGGAGCGUGGCCGCGGCAGCUCCAAUGAGCUGGAGCCCGGCGCCGGCGGCGGCGGCCGCAGCAGCCAUGCCGCAAUGGGGGCCCCCUCGUGCCGCUCUCUGGGAUCUUCCGGUGCGCGGCGCGUUUGCUCCCUUCCUUGUGGGGCUUCUUUGGGAAUGCGAGAGGAGAUAGGGACAGAAGGAGAGCUAUUUGAUGCGUCUGGGGCGAGGAGAGAGGGAGGUGGUGGGCGAUGGGACGAAACGACUCUUCGAGAUUCUUCCGCUUUUUAUGGGGAGGGGGAGGAGGUUGAGGCCGCUCGCAGCCAUGUCUGCAUAGCUGGCCGGGCGGGCUUGGCUUAGCUGGAUUUCUGGAUUUUUCGAAUUUGUGUGCAAAUUUGGUUUAUUUUCCAGCGGUUUCUGUUGGAAACAACUUUGUUGUUGUAGACUUGUAGCGGUGGGGUUCAUAACAUGGGGAUGAUGAUGUUAGUUGCGUUCCUCUAAAAAAACAUGGGGAUAAAAAGUGUCGCUAUGAAUAUACGGCACCAUGUAGCCUCCUUCGUUAUAUGAAUAUUUCUUAAGUAAGAUACACGGAUGGUCUCUGAAUUUAUCAUGAGGUGUCAUUUAGAUUCAUAAACUUUCAAAAUGUAUUUUUCAUGUUCAUAAACUUAUCUUAAAAUGUCAUCCUGAUCCCUAAACUCUCAAAACAUAUUUUCAAGUCGUCCAACUUGCUAAGGGUGUCAUCCGAGUCCUUAAACUCUCAAAGUGCAUUUUAAGAUCCUCCAAUCAAGUACCAAGCAACUUGCGUGGAUAGUCUAGCAUGACUGCACUUUUACGCUGCACCGUUCCAUGACCAAGUAAGACACCUUUCAAUGCAAAUCCUCUUCCUAGAGGCAAACGGCGGCAGACACACAUGACCAGCCAAAAAAUUAUGGCAAGUGCCUUCAUCCUUUCUAUCAUUUUCCCUCCUCUACUCUUCUCCUCCAUCGCCAAGCCGCCUCCUUCCUCACUCUCUCCACUACCUCCCCCCAACUGCUAGGGUGACAACCAUCGCAUCCUCCAUCACUCGUGGACGUCCCAUGCGACAAGUUCUUAGGUCCACCAUCACUCUCUCCAAAACUGCCUCCUCAUGGACAGGGGGAGGGAGGGGUGGGCGCUGACGAAUUUAGUUGAACAACCAUAAUUCUAUUUUGAAAGUGAUGAAAGAGAUUCAAUUACGCAAUGAAUUUGUAAGUAUACGAUGAAAAUUCAUAAAAACUGUUUACAAAUUCAUGAAGUCCAAACAGUCGCCACUGUAGAAUCCAUCGAUAGUCUCCUUCACAUAAUCUUCCACUUGCAUGGACUAUUUAUAAAAUCCACGUGGUCCAACACACACAAAAAAAAAAGGCAACAAUCCGAUGUAACCAUCGAUGUAAUCUCCUUCACACAAUUUAAUCCAUCUAGCUUUGCGGAUUAUUUAUGAAAUUCAUUCAUAUAGUCCGAACAAGCACCAAUCCGAUGAAUCUAUGUAUCCCCUUCACUCAAUCCAACUCGUCCAAUGGUCUGGACCAGAAACUGAUCAGCAGCGAGCAAACGUUUCAUGAUCGGUCAUCAGUGUGAGACCUAAGAGGCUACAGGCCUACAGCACACCAAACUCUAGCACAUGUGUAGACAUGAGGACACCGUACUCGAACUGCCAGUGUAUUGAUUCUUGCUGCCAAACGGAGCUUUGUCACAACCGCUUCCCUUUUGCGCGCAUAGUGGCCGUGGUACCCGCGGCGGCCGCCGGGACCAGCGGAGCUCGGCGGGACGACGGAGUGCGCGAUGCCGAAGAGAGGGAAAACCAUGGGUGAUGGGUGGGACGAAAGCUGGGGAGAAAUAGGAAUCUAGAUAUGGGAGUAGCAGAGACGACAAUAGGAAUCAGAUGUCACGCAUGCAGCUGGUCCACGGCGCGCGUAGAGACAGCCGCGCCGCGCGCACCGCCACGCGCGCCAACUCACGUGUGCCACCUCCUCCAGGCAUCAGACGCCAGGCCGCUCCAGCAGGCGACAGCGGCAGCAUCUAGCAGCAGCGCCCACGCCCAGUUGAGACUUGAGAGCGUGCCUGGCAGCCGGCCAGAUGGGCAGCCAUGCACGGCGGGAUCCUGGCGCCUAGCUCCAGCCUGCGGGCGCCCGUCUCGCCGCGCACGGUUGGAUCCGGAGGGCCUCGGCGGUCACGGUCACGGGCGCGAAUCCGGCGCAUGCAAACCCAUGUCCGGGCGCCUGGUUUCAGAUCGCACCACUACUCCUGCCUGCGUCCUGCAUGCAGAUGCAGCCGAGACGGUCCUUUUCUUAAUUAAUCACGUUGUGGAUAUUUUUUUUCUCCGAUUAUUAUUAAUCAAGGUGCAUGCAAAAAUAGUAUUAUUUGAUUGGUUUGCUGAAAUGCCCGUGGCACGCGCCGCUGGCAAUCAGUGAUCCAUCCCCUGUCCCCCGUGAUGUGCAGUAUAAUAUCAGAAGGACACAUUCUAUAAUGUUGGGACAGGCCCAAAGAUUUGGAAGCAAGCCAUUUUCCCAGUAAACAAAACUCGUGCGCCAGUGGUGUACGUGACAGUACCAACCAUGCGGUGCACAUGUUUCGUCUUCUAUUUUUUUUUCCCGCGCUCACACUAGUCAACGAUCACCAGUCAGCAUUUUCGUGAGCGGCAAAACAUGAAUCGACAAGGCAAAACGAUUGACAUGAUGAGCACAUACUUUUCUGAAUAGUAGUAAUUUCUUUUUUUCUUGCAUGGGAAAGUAGUAGUACUAGUAGUGUGCGGCCGCUUUUUGGAGUUAUGGACGGGGGCACGGGGCGGAUCCACACCCACAUGUGCGCGCACGGUGGGCGGACAAAACGAACGGUAGGGCCGAUGCCGUCAUGUGCGCUUCAUUUACACGUCCGAGCGGAGCCCACUGGCCACUGUAGCUACGUACAGGCGCAUGAUAUCGAUUCGUUCGGAACUGCUGCGUGCGUCGUGAUCUGCGGUCUAUUGGAGUGGUAGAGACCGUUAUCCUCCAGCGCCCAGCGGCAGGCCAGCAGCGCGGUGAAUGUGGAGUAUUUUUUUUAGAAAAGAAGAGAAAAACAAGCAGCACACGUUCCUGUCCUUGUCCGGUACAGCAAUGGCACGCACGUCUUGUGAUUUUCGAGUUCCAGGCCAACCGAACAAGCUACUACACUGGUGGAAAGGAAAAAAACUCGGGUCUCAAUCCGAUAGAUCAGUGACCGCAUUCACGGCGGGGUUGACCAUCAUGAAGGCUACCGCAGCGCCCGGCCGGCCGUCCAAAUCGGUCACGCGGCAUAGUGACCGCGACGCGACGUCUUUAUGGGUCAAGCACACGGCGUAAAUGUUUUUCCUACCGCCCGUCCCCGACGGCCCGACGCUGCUGCUCAACGAACACUACUGCUACAGGCGCGCAACGAACCGAAACCAAUCAGGACGCCGCGACCUUUAAUGCGGGUCAAUCAAGAGGAUUCGGAACGCGUCAGUAUUUCUGCGGGCGCACGGCACACGUGGGCUACUAGUUUCCCGGAGGCCGUGCGACCCCGGGCGCGCCACGUCGCCGCCGCACGCAUGCGGAAGGCGCGGACACGUGACCCUGUUGCCCGAAAGAUCACAUUCUCAUGUGCGGCUGUGGAGGGGGCGCGCGGCGCGCCGAUCGUGAGGUCACCAGCAAGGCCGCGCGAGGUGCCCAGGCCGUGGCCCGUGGGAGGUGGGAUCGCCGUCUCACAACUUGGUGGAGAUGGGCAAAUGGCAACGAACAACGAAACUAUGCUCUCGUUGUGCCGGCAAGUGCUCGGACCGUCAUGCUAGGAUUUUUCUGAGACGACCGGCAAGAGCUCCCACAGUGAUGCUAGUUUUCCUUUUCCUGAAACGACCAGCAAGGCGGCAAGUGUUCCAAGGGAGUUGUACGAGAACCUUUCUCUUGAUACGACGGAAUAGAGCCGGGGAUCCCAAUAUUCCCAGAUCUGAUCUGAGAUCGAGCUACCAGACAAGAUUUGGUAAGCAAACUGGCGUGUCGCGAUCCGCUAAAGGAAAGGCGCCACGAUUUUUAUUCACCGCGCUUUCCACCGUCUUCUUUCUGUUCCUUUUGUUUUAUCCGUGACGUGAAAAAGUGAAAACGGGCGACUGCACAGGCCCACGUCCUCUGCUCUUUUCUUGCCUGCCGCAGCUUUGGCACCAACAAGACUAGAAAGACCAUACGAGGACGCACGGCACAGCUCGAAUUCAAACGCCCCGAUAAAAUUCAGACAGCCAAACUGUCAACCAAACGAGUCCAAGGAGGAUUCGUUGAGCAGCGUUAGCUGAUAACUGCAACUUCUGUAAGACGUCACGCAAAUCAACGGCAGGAUCGAAGCAGCGGCGAGCAGAAAACAUGGAACGAACGGGCACAAGUCGCAAGAACAGACGAACAGCGCCGAAGCGACCACUAACAACGUGGUGCGGAUCAGAAGAGGGCGGUUGGCCGGCACGCAUCUCCCAGGCACGAUCCUGCAGGCAACCCGGAAGUUGGUCGAGUUCAUUGCAUCUCGGAACGGUCAGCCGAAAACAUCAGACACAUGAAACCAGAUCGAAGUGCCCUGCGCUCUACGGCCCUGUUGGGUUCCACUGGGCCUAAACUAAAUUUUAAUCCUCCUUAAUUCAUUGGACUAAACUUUAAUCCCCCUAUUUAGUUUUAGUGACUAAAAACCAUUAAAAUAGUUAAAUAAAGACCAACUACCCCUAAUCCAGAAGCAACCAGCCACAGUCAGCUGAGACUGAUCCAGGCGCAAAAGGCAUCGAUCCAAAUCCAGGGGCAAAGAAUCUAGCAAGAGCGUGACGCGAGCAAGGGAAGCGAAGAAAGAGCGUUUCCAUGGGAAGAAGCAGAGGAAGCACCCAAGGUCCAGGAGCUUCACAAGUGCCGGGCUAGCCUCCUUCUUCUGUUUGAUCGUCGCGUCCUUCUCCUUCACCUUCCCAUCCCGCGGCAGGUCCUCCUUCAACCACCGCAACGCCUUCUCGGGGCACAUCGUCUCCAUCGUCCCGCCGGAGGCCUGCGGCGGGAGCAGGAGGAAGCCACGAUCGGCGUACCGGAUGUCCGAGCUGUUCUCACCCAAGGUGUCCUCAUGGUGGGGCGGGCGGGCGGGAGUGGCCGGGGGCCGACGGCGAGGCGAGGGCUGGCGGUGGGGCGGGUGCCGAGGAGGGCAGGGACCAGCAGCGGGGUAGGUGCGGCAAAGGAUUGGAUCAGAUCGGGACGGGUGGGGUUGGAGGGAGGGACGGGGUAUUAGUGAGAGGCAGACCCUAUCUAAAAUCUCCUUUAGUCCCUUUUAGCAAUCUCUUGUGGACUAAAGGGCUAAAGUUUAAGGACUAAAGUUUAACCCCUUUUAGUCACCAUGUUUAGUAGUUUAGGAACUAAAAGGGACCGAAACUUUUCAGUCCCUAAAAUUUAGCCGCCCCAAACCAAACAAACAGAGCCUAAUUAAACCAACAGAGUAUUCCGCACAUAAAACAAGCAUGAGCUCUCCAAUAUCUGCGACUAGCUUAGCUGCUUACGUUACGUGUCUCAUUCAUACAUGCAUACAAGCUUUGCCAGGCACCUCCAAUUGCAUCCCGAUCAGAACAGCAAACAUUACUCAGCACAAUUUCAUUUCUUUUUUUUUUCCAGCACACCCCCAAUUGCAUGCUCAAACCAACUCAAGCCAUCAAUCCUGAAUGCGUCCAGCUCGAGAAGAACCACCUGUUCCGUUCAGGUACAAGUGGAUUUGUUUCAUUCUCGUUCAGCUGUGGGGUAUAGCAAUAACAAUCAUCAUGGUUGGCAUUGAACUGGGAGCAUUCUAUCCCAUUCGUAGCCUUUUAUAUAUAUAUAUAUAUAUAUAUAUAUAUAUAUAUAUAUAUUUAUUCUAGAGCCUGUUGUUGCAGUGUGUGGGUGUCCGUUCAUAGAGAAGGAAGGCGAAAUAUCAACCAGCAACCUGUACUCUGCUCCAUCGGCUAUCAUCGUUGUCGAUCCGGUGAAUGUAGCUGUACUGAUUUUCUCUGAUGUAAGUCACCGCAGACCAUAUUCCUCGAACAAGAAGGAUGCUUGCAAACACCAUGCUUCCAAAUGUGCAGACCACCUGCGAACACAAAAUUUGAACCUGUUUUACUGAAAGGAACAUAUGAAAUCUGCAACAUGCGUCAAUGCAAUAGAACGUAGGGCCUUUUAUCAUGCCAUGUGCUCCUCAAAGUACCAUAUUCUAGUGAUGUAUCCACCGAAAAAAUUGUAGAUAUUCUCUAAGCAGACAAUCAAAUUCAUGGACUUGCCAUCUUGCCAACAAUCAAACUUAUUUUGAGAGGUCCAAGAAACAAACUGAACAUGACAUUUGUUUACUAUAUAAAGUAUUUCUUUUAGAAUUAUAUUUAAAGCACUGAGAGGCAUAUGACAAGAACAUUGUAUGGGCUCCCCAUUUAAUUGCAGUCAUGGGGAAUUUCCAAAAAGCUGACUGAUGUGAGCCUUAUUAAUGUCUCAAACACAAAUCUGGACACAUGCUGAUGAAUGUCGAUGCUGGACAUUUGCCUGACCUGAUACCAGGCAGUUGUGACCCUACCCUAAUUGAGUAAUUGGGGUGUUUAUUGCACGGAUCAACCGCUACUUGAUCUCAGUUGGGGAAGACCAAGUAAACUGGGUUAUUGUGAACAAAAUUAUUGGCCAGUACUGGUAACCAAGAAUAUAACAUGAAUGACAUAUGUUGCCUUCAAUACGGACUGGACAACAAACUACUUAAAUCUGCACUAUAAUUCUUAAGCUUGUCUUCAUCCUUCAUGAUAUAUUUUUUCUGAUUCUUGCCAAUGUUUUUGUCAGCUAGUACAACCACAAGUUAAUCCUAGCUUACAUUCAACACAGCCAUUUCACCUGCUGCGUCAAUUUACAAGAACUGAAAAUUAUUCCUGGCUGAAGCCCAAAUGCGGUUCAAUUAACUCCAGCUCAACAAAUCUGAUUGGUAUUCUGUGCCAAGGCAGUAGUAAACAAGCCCGAAAACUGGAGCCGGAUGGAAACUUAAUUUAGUUAGUUUUUACAGUUACAGGUCUGACAACCUCACAGUACCAGGCUUGGGCAGCAGAAUUUCAGCGAGAAUCAAAUGGGGGCUUCCUGGCCCAGCACAAAAGAUACUCAGGUUUUUAAAGGCAUAGUUACAAGCCCGUUUAAAAGGAUCGUAAGGAAGGGCCUACUUAGACAAUUACAAGGCUGUAGGGGGGCUUGAUUGCACAAGGUCAAGUACUCAAAUUGCAGAUGGGCUUCAAUUAACAACAUUGCCCAAAAAGUGGUCGUGUGAACAUUUGAUUGCAGGUGGGUUGAUACUUGCUGUUUUGAUUGUGAACUGAUAAUUGCUACUGGCGAAAUAAAUGAUAAGCACUGAUAAAAAAAGGAUCCGCACAGACAAAAAGGCUCUCAGGGGACCUGUAAUCUGCACUGAUGCACUCAGUUUAUAGCAGAAAGAAUAAAACUAGCUAGAAAGUAAAAGGGGUUCAAAGUUGAAAAUUACUAGAUGCAGAGUGCCAGGGCGGCUUAUCAAACAGUAGUACAGUACGAACAUGCGCCCUAAAAAAACAGUACAAACAUGCACCAUACUGAAAUAAUCCCCAUUCACAUAAUGCUAUCAAUUUCAUUAGUAUGAUCAAUACUUCAAUUGCAUAUGUCGUAAUCCCAAACUCACAUCUGGAAACAGGUUUUUCACCAUAUCUUACCACUCAGAUAAUUACAGUUUACGUUUCUGACCUAUACACAUCCUGCCUGUGGCUAACUGGAAUCCAGCCCUGAGUUAUCAGGUGCCACGUAGCCAUCCUAGCAUGUUCAUCUAGAGGUUGGCUGAUACACUAUCAUGCUGUAAAGGUCUCAGCCUAGCAUAAUCAUCCUAGCAGUGCAUGCUUCUACAGUUCUACUUUGGCUAGUUCUACUUAAUUAUCUUGUGUCCUAUGCAUUGUCUCUACUAGAGCUUGUGCCCUAUCCCAGCGGUGCAUUGUCUGUACUUUUUUUAUCUCAAAACCUUUGCCAUUCAGUAAGCCUUAUGCACUUCUUUAUACUCUUCCUUUUUGAACCUAUUUUCUCUUUUGCUGAAGAACUAAGUAAUCCACUGGUUUAAGGGAAAUACAUAUCCAACUAAUUGAGCAUUACGUAAACAACACUAAUGAUGUGAAAGCCCAAGUAAUGUUCCAAACAUCAAUUCACAAUUUUAAAAUCAAACUAACCAACGGCCAAAUUUAAACGAAUUCUCCAAGCAGGAUGCAAAUGAUGCCUCAUCAACAUGAACUAGGUACUUGAUCCCUGAACCGACAUGCCCUUCAGAAGAACAAACCACACUGCUAUCCACGCUUCAAACACAACACAUCACCGAUGGCGUGAGCAUUAGACGAGCAUUGAUCAAGUGAUGCACAUAAUUGGUAUGAAGCAGGCCAUCAAACAGCUUAGCAUAUGAAUGAGUUGCUCACCUCGAGAAGACCCUUCAGGAUCCAUAAGAAUGUGAGGACGAGCACGCCAUUUACCGAGAACUUUACCUGCACACGCACAAACAGCACCAGAUCAGGGCCCAAUAACGAGAUCAUCAUUCCUCUGUGUCGCCAAUUUGCAACUGAAAGCUGAAAUCGAGUAGAGUGGAACGGACCAGCUCGGCUGGGACUGAAGGCGGCAGCACGGACCUGGCGGCGCGGCGCGCCCGGCGGGAGGCCUUCCUGAACACGGAGUGCAGGAAUCGGGCCAGUAGGUCCAGGCUGCGGUCCUCGUCUUCGUCGUCGUCCUCCUCCGCGUCGUCUUCGUCCUCCCCGCCGCCUUCCCGGUAGGAAGCGGUGGCGCCCGAGAGAUCGCCGACCCAGGGGCGGGCGUCCGGGACGACGACGACGGCGUCGGGGUGUCGGCGCCGAGCGGCGCGGAGGAGGCGAGUCGUAGGGGAGAGGCGCAGGUGGCGGGGGGAUGCGGACGGGGAGGGGUGGAAGCGGUGGGGGGAGGCAGGGGCGGGGAGGAGAGGGGGAAGGAGGGAGGUCGAGGUCGAGGUCGCCAUGGGAGCGGGGAGGCUGCGACUGCGAGCUGGUUGGUGGUGGUGGUGGCUUCGUCCCCACCUUUUCUUAUCGGUAUUACAUUUUCUUUCGAUUUUACUGUAAGAAAGAAACGAGUUUGUUUCUUCUAACAUUGUCCAAAAAUGCUGUUCGUCCAUGGAAAUAUUUAUUUUAUUAAAAUGUGUUAGAUUUGAAAGAUUCGGUUAAGAGAAAAAAAAAUCAAGCAGAGAAAUUAAAUCUUCGAAAUUGAGAAAUCAGAAGUUCCAGAAAAUCACAAGGAUCUUUCGUCAUUUCGCAUACUCUUUUUUCCACGACAACAAUAGAUCGUUAAAUUUCAUAAAAGAGAAUGAUUUGGAUAUAGAAAAAUCCAACGACAAAUGACAUAGUCACUUUAUUGAUCAGGUCGUUUUGGCAUAUUUAGAUUGAUAACUUUUACUAUGUAUUUAAAUAUAGUAUAUAUCUAGAUAGAUAGCAAAACUUAUAAACUUAGAAAUGCCAAAAGUACCUGCAAUUUGGGAUGGAGGGAGUAGAAAGUUAUCAACCCCCUUUACUACUCCCUCCGUACGACGAUUUAUCCUAAAUUGAUUUUCAUUAACAAACUAAGUUUAUAAAAAUAUAUAUUAACAUUUAAAAUUGUAGAAUAAAAGCAUGCUCAGCACGAAAUUCAAGGUGAAUUAAAAAAUAAUUUGAUGUAGAUAUUGAUGUAUAUUUUCAAUAAACUUGACGAAGUAAAAAGUAUGUGACUUAGAACAAAACUAGAUAUCUUAUAUUUCAAAAUAGAGGGAACAAUCUAAGUAGAUCAGCUCAGGUUCACAACUUUUAUAUACGGAUAAAAACAUUAUAAAAUGAAAGGCAUAUUAGGAUUUUAAUUUAAAAAACCAGACUAGACAUCUCGCCGUAAAUAUGGGAGAACAUACGUAGAAGUGCAAUGCUAUUGUUAAUGAAACUUAGUUUUUAUCGUACUCUAAACUACCGCCGCAAUUUAUAUUUUAUGAUACAUGCAGUUAAACAUAUUAAGCUUUACCUGCUAUUACAAGCAAAUAACUAGGUGGAACCACACGCCAUCAAACCACUAUCCAGCUACGUCACAAAUUCCAGGGCUCCAGGCCAACAUAGUACAUUAUCCUUUUGACCAGAUCACAAACUUUUCACCCCUUUGAUUAGUCAACUGUACAUGAACAUGAUGGGUGGACACCAGAAUCCUUCUCAUCGAAGACCAAAGUUAACUAGAUCAUCCCAAGAGAUGCCGUGCCACCGUUUCAACUUGCAAAAGCUUCCCGAUAGCAGCCCAACAAACUUUCAGAUGUGGUCAUGUGGACUUGUUACUCCACUUUCAUCGAAUCUGCAACAUCAAAAUGGACCUUGAGAAAUCUCACAAAGUUGAACGCUGCUGCAGGAGAAAUGCAAAACAUAGAAAUGCAGGAGAAGCUAAAAAAGCACGAGAAUUCUAAGGUACCAGCACCAACGUCAGAAGCGAAAGCAUCUGGAGCAACGGUGCGAAGUUCCUCGUCCCAGUUCACUCCUCUCUGCCAUGGGAGAAAAUACUACUAAUUGAUGUUGGUUGUUGCAAGGCACUUGAAGCUGCUCAAGGGCGUCCAAUACAAACCUGAGGAAAUGUAGGUAGCUGAAGUAACUGCUGAACCGGUCUAGCCACAUGAACAUUUGCUGGAUUUGGGCUCACCCCGCAUGGUUCUGGACGCAAGAAACCUUGCUGAGAUGCCCUGAACAGAUUCAGAUGCACACUGCUCAUUUGCAGACUGUAUCCCGGAAAUGCAGCACAAGCAUCUUGUGAGCAAAGGAUCUACAAUGACAAGGAUUAAUGAAGGAUCAACCUAUGGGCUAUGAGAAUGGUAAACCAAGAUAUGUUCUUUGCCCCCAGAGUUGGACUUUGCAAUCUUACAUCUUGCAGAUCGAAAUCGCAGUUCAUCUCGGGACUGAUAGCUGAAAGCUUCAUUGAAAGGAACUGAAAACCAACACAAACAUGGACACAAAGCUUCAGUUGUUGGCCAAAACAAGUCUUGACAAAACUUUCAAAUAGAAGUUUUACUACACUUACCUCAACCUGCCGCUGCAGAGAUUGUACAUAAUUUAUGAUUUCAUCAAGCAUCAUGGCCUUGCCUGUAAUCUACAUCAUCAUAAGCAACACGUUCCCAUUGGUUAGAGGCUUAGAGCGCACCGUCAUCACAUCAAUAUGAGCAUUAUCGUGUGCUUGAUGGCAUUCAUACCUUGUUACAACCUGGGACGAGGUCUUGAAGAAGCUUCAUCCUUUCAUUUAUCUUUUCCCUUCGAAACUGCAUUUCGAAUGGACAAACUACGAUAAGCAAGAGACUAGAGCAUUGCAAGAUCAUUGAUCAUGUUGCCCAGCGAUAAAAAUUACUCUUUCUGCAAGGCUGUGGCUAUUGGUGGCUUGGCCACGCUUUGCCCGGACAUGCACAUAGUCCUCUCUGUUGGUUCCAGCAUCAGUUGCCUUCUCAUCAGCACACUGCAUGCUGACUUUUCGCUGCAACAAUGCACCGGUUUCAUCCUGCAGUAAUACAAUACAAGUACAUAGAAUGAAAUACAUUCUUAAAAAGAGAGGACUGAAAUACAGCACAACUGAUGAGACAAAGCAGUGAUAGCUUCUAGCUUCCUUACUAGAGAAUGUAGUGAUGAACUGUCCUCUCCUGAACCCUUCCUUUUAGCACCCUUUAAACACUUGCCUGUGUUCAUAUUUCUACUUAGCUGAGUAUCUGGGAAGAGUCGGGAACAUGAAAUUUUUUUAGUCAGAAGCUUCACAGAUCAACAGCAACUAUUCCUGAAAAACUGAACUAAGAAGAAAUAUACCCCCAGCAGAAUUGUAAAGCUGAACCCCCUCUUGCAUGCCUACAUUGUUCAUUGGAAAGAUGAUAGGCUCAUCAAAAUCCAUGGUAUGCUCUAGUGAAGCAAGCAGGUUAGUUCCGACUGCGAAGCACAGGUUUUCCUCUCUUUCAGGAUCGGUGCAGGGAGGGGAAUACAUCUGCCAAGAAACAAUGAUUGAUCUUGUCAUUUUCCAAACUGAGGAGGUAGCUCUAUGCAUGUAGCAAACUGAAGGUACAUAUGCCACGAACUUAUGUACUACUGAAGAAAUGGAGUCACCAACCUGCGUUUGAUACUUGAACUCAGUGCGAUGUUCCAAUCAUUUUUGGGAAUACCCGAUAACCUUCUAACUUGCCAGGUUUGCCAACUGAAGGAGCUUUACUUAAAGGGUGGAGUAGAUCGGGAGCUGGACACAGUCAAUUCCUUGCAAGGCUCAACAAGGAACAACUAACCCUUGCAGCCUUACAUAAAGAUUGUCCAAAGUGAAAAGGCUAAGUAAGCCUGAUGCAAUAGACAAACGCAAGGGCAAAAGCGGAAACCAAGCCCUGGAAUAGAAUUGCUGGUACUAGUACUACUAACAACCAUGCACCAGCUGGAUCACAUCCAGAGAUCAGAAUAAAGAGAGCUCUGAAUGAAGAUCGCUUACAGUUGGUGCUGCAAACUGAAGACCUAGUGACCAACCCAAGGAUCAGAUGCUACUGUCAUCCAGUGUAUGUAUGGGCCUGCCCAGAAUAAGGUUAAUUAUUAGGCAAUGAACAGGGCCCAUCUAAGUUUAAACCCUCUUAACAUGCCACUAUUAAAGUUCUGUCCUCCAGAUUUUCAUUCCAACUCAACUAAUGGGCCUAAAGUUUGAGAAAGUAAUUAAUUUUCACCACAAGGAUAGAACUCUUCAAGGAUGGACCAGUUCUUAGCAUAAGAAGGUGAAAUAGACUCCACAAUUCAGCAUAUCAUAGAUACUGAAUGCAAAUUCAAGUUCCUGUAACUAAUGAUUGGGCAUAGAUUUGAAGUUCAAUUUUUCGUUGUUUUUCUCAUUUUGAUAGGUGCAAUGCCGAAACAAAGUUAGCUAGUUGCCAGCUUGCACACACACCGCCACACUCAGAUGGAAAUGUGAGAAUUCAGAAGCCGUAGAAUCAGAUCCAGAGAACAAGAAAGAGGGCAACAGCUAAGAAAGUGUGACCUUCAAAUCACAAGGAGAACCGCGGAAGCAAAUUAGGGUCUAUGAUGGAGAAAAGCCAAAAAGUUAGAUGUUUGUAUUCCUGUGGCCAAGGUAGGGGAUUCCUCAAAACGCAACAGUCCGUACUGACCCUCCAAACAUCCAAAUUCCAUGCCAGAACUAUAAAUGAUAGAUUUAAAUAGAUUAUACGUUUUCAUUAGUUCACAUCCUGUUCUAUAGCAUGACGAUGUAAGAGUCACCAGGUGAUUAGAAGCUAAGUUCGACCAAGAUGGAAGGGCAAAGAAACGCUGGGACUUAACCCUUAAGCAAAGAUCGAGCAAAAUGCUUGCUGAAGGGUCUAAACACUCCGAUGAAGAGUAGAAAUCGUCCGAAAGAAGGCCAAUGCCAUUUAAUGAGUUAAUAGUUCUCUUGCCCGUAAUUCCUCCAAAAGAGAGGGAGGGAGGGAGAGAAACGCCCAUGUACUGUUCAAAGAGACAGAAUGCUCACGAAGGGAUGGAAGCAAUAUAAUGCCGUCUUCAAAGAAAGCAUCAUACUGCAGUACUUCUAAAGACUAAUAAUAUAUAAAGUAAAGUACUUGUCCUAAAUACAAAACUAUUUGCAAAGAGCAUGGCACAGUAUAUAUUAGUACCAACGAUACAGAAAGUUUUGUUAUUACCAGCACGGAGGUUAGAACUGCUGCCCCCUGUUCCUCCUCUUUCGAUCAGAUGUUCCGCUGUUCCUCACCAGCCCCUUUGCUAGAGUGAAUAGUGUUCACCUUGUAGUGGCACGCAGACAUGCGGCUCAGUGGCUACGACUGAAAACAAUGAAUGGCUGGAGACCCCACUGUAGUCUCCAGUUCUCCACCAACCUCUCACAGCUUUUUUAAUUAUAUUUUACACCCCAGUAUAAACAUAGUAGCAGGCACAGAAGUAUGUCCCUUGGUGUAGAAGACAAGUCACCACAAGAUUAUCCAUCCACACUGGCUUAAGAAUCACACUGUAUUUACCAACAAGCAUUCAAGCACCACCUGUUAGUAUAUUUGCAAAAUGCACAUUGACAUACUGUUGGUAGAUAACGGGACGGCACAGGCAAAGCUGAGGGGACCUUUCCAAGUGUCCAUGUAACAAGCAGUCCAUCAGUGUACUGUUUCACUUGAAGGCCUUUCAGAAUCCGGUGCCCAUUGCUGCCACCUGCUUCAGCUGCCAGAAUUAUUAUCGAGCAAUAGUGGAGAGAGGAAGCUGGUAGGGGGCUGGACACCGAAUAAUACAGUCAAAGUGAAGAACUGCAUGCAGCAGGGGCAUCCUGCCUGCCAGAGGUAGAGGUGUAUCGUCACCGAAUUGGAAUUGAUUCUCACUGUCCGGAAACCUGUAGAGGUUUGUUGGCGCUUGUGCAGCACCGUGCAGCUUCCAUCGUACUCUUGUUCCCAAGGUAAUCCCAGUUCAAGGGAAUAGAGAUUCUGCCUUGUUGCAAUCAUCUUCCGUUGUUUCAAGACCAACAUAUGCUGAUAAAUCAAAACACAUCAGGAACAUAUUUCUAUUUUAUGUCAAAAGGACAUGCAGAAGUAUUGUAUUUGUAUUUUACACAAGAUUAUAGAAGUGACGAGUGAAAUAGUAUACGGAUCCAAAUGGUUCAGAUCAGGGGCGGACCCAUGUUGACACUAGUGAGGGCACAGGCCCUCACUCAAAAUUUUCACAUCAAGGUAAAAGAUAAAUUUCUACCAUGUUCAAGCUUCAUCAUCUGGAAGUUUCUUAAGCUGUGCCCUCUCUCAAUUUUCGCCUUGGGUCCACCCCUGGUUCAGAUUUAGCACUGCAACACAGAACACUUCUCCAUAAAGCAGCAGAAGCUGAUCAAACUUUCAUUUGUACUUCAGGCAUCACAUAUUCAUUUCACAAACGAUAGAAGGUACAGUAGACAAACGAUAAAUUAUUCAUACAGGUAAUGAUCUAGCACCGACGUAAGUACGUAACACCCGACUACUUUUGUAAAGCAGCCACACCUAGUGCAACUGCUACUGCAUAAAGCAUAUCACCAACCACAAGUUAACCUAGAACCGAAGUUCAGAUCAACAAUCAUAGCAAAGGGAUUUCGUGGCAGUAAAACACUUACUUACCCCAUCUGGAUUUAUUAACUCUUUGCUCCCAUGCCGUCCCCAGUCCCAAUCUUUUCAGUGCACCAAACCACAAGCAAAGAGUUCAUCUCACAGAAAGUUGAAGCCUUUCUCGGGCUCCGAGACGCCCCGUACAGCUCUGAUUUUAGUACUGUAACAGUGGCUCACAGUCCCAGUCCAAAGACAGGUGAUCAGAAAGCUAAAUCUCAUGACAGAUAUUUCAUGGUUUAAUAACAUAAUAUCAAAUAAUAAAUGGGGCCAAUAGUCAAUAGAACAUGUGUAAACAAGAUGCACGCGUACACCAAAAAAGUGAUCUUUCUUCCUGUGGUCAAUAUAAAGUUCACCUUAAAGAAAUUUUGCAAUCUUUGGUCCCCCAGCUCCAAGCCACCAAUGGUGGAGGGUGAUCUCUCUAUAGUUCAUUCAAUCCAUCAUAGGCCAUAGAAAGCAACAUGGUACAGAGGCGUCAGGCAAAAAAUGCUUUACAAGUUCAGCAAAUUAUGAUCAUCCCACGCUAUGCCCAGUCUGAUAUGACUGAAUUGCGUAAUGAAAAUGAUCGAGCCAGAACUGGGAAGCACCUCAAAGUUCAGAUUAAAUAUACACACUCUGGGAAAUGUGGAUGAUUCAAGAAAGCAUCAAAGUGAAGAUUCUGCUCAAAUGAAUACAUAAGAUCAGAUCCAGAACUAUCAAUCUCUCAAACAUUAUAGAAAUGUAUUAUCAACUUUCUGAAUCGUCCAGGUCAGAACCAUGAGGAGAAUAAGGACAUGGAUACUACAGUCUCAAUAAAGAGGCCAGUUAAAUGCAACAUCAUGGAUAUUCCAUCAUAAACAUGCAAUCGGCGACCCAGAAAAUAUGUAAAUAAAUAUGUAAAUGAGGACUCACAAGAAACUAAACUAAGAGCUAUAAUAAUAAUACUGAAGGUAACACAUUUACUCAUAAUUUCUAGCAAGAAAAGAGAACCGCCCAGUGCUUGCAAAAAUCACCUAGGAAAGCAGCGAAAAUGUAACAACAGUGAGUUAUGCAUCACACAUACUAUAACAAAAAAUAAAUAUGCUUUACAACUUCUUACAGUUAUAUUUGGUUUUGGUCAGAGUAUUGCACAAAAACACACAUGAUCAAAACUCACGAGCAUUAGAGUUCUCUGUCAGAUAAACUUGUAGGCAUGUGCUAUGUGGAGAUGCGCCUACACCAGGGGCACCAAAAAGGUCCAGCACGGCAUAAGCCAUUUACAUAUGUGCUUGCCCUUAGCUUUUCCAUUAAGGUAGGUGAUAAGUAUGUUAGGAUUAAGAUUUGGCUUCUAGGAGUUUGUUUCAUCCGGCCACCUCAGCAUUAAGACAGGUGCAUUCAUGAAUCACUAAAGAAGUUACCUCCUCUCUAUCUCUCUGCUUUCUCAAUCCACCACCGCUACGUGGAGAUGAGAUUUGCACCUUAACCUCCUGUGAGCAAUUCAACCCCGCCACACAACAGCAGGCCAGAUCGAUCAUUGUUGUUAAAUCAACAUCACUCAGGUACAAAAUUUUAUAGGCUUAUAGCCUCAACUAGUUACAUAAACAUAAAUCUGUAGUACUACCUCCGUCCUUGAAUAUAUAACAUAAAAGUUCAGCAAAACUAAUUUGCUUGUAAUAAACGUCAUAUAUUCGAGAACGUAGGGAGGAUGUUGUAUACAUCCUAAACUAUUCACAUGUCCUUUUGUUUAAGGUUUUAGGUUUGAAUGAUUGCAAUGAUUCUCUCGGACAUAGAAAUUACAAAACAAAACAAAAAAACAUCCAUAAACCAUCUAGCGGUACACAUUACCAACAAAGUAAACUAAAGUGUAUCAGGUGUUCAGGUUGUAAACAAGAAGGUGAUUUGACAUUAGAAAUAUUCACUGUUUCAAGAAAAACAAAAGGGGACCAAUUUGGUACAUGUUUCCAUUAUUUCAUACAACUCUAGAUUAUUUUGUUUAACAAUCCCUUCAAUAGAUUGAUGAAAUAAUACUAUAAUAGCAGGACCUGAUUAUCCAAUUUAUCACCGAACUAAUGAAAGUAGCCUGUAUAUAUAUUGACGCCAUGGUAUAUGUGGAGAAUAUAAAUGAGGUGUACAAUUAAGCUAUCAUUGUUAUAGACUGCACAUUCAAUGCCAAUAAAUUAAAGCAGCACACUGAAGUUUGAGCUAUUAUUAUCUUACAUCUCUCUAUAUAUUAACCAAUAUCUAGAAAAACUCAUCUGAGAAUAGAACAAGGGUACUUUAUUACUAGGGCAGGGAUUACAUUGGUAUCAUAAAAAACAGAAAAGACAGGAUCUAAGAUACUAAGGCAAUAUAAGGAUAAGAGUGCUCUGCAAAUGCAUAGGAUGAGGGUGAGAGUGCUUUGCAAAAGCAUAAGCGUGCAACUUGGAGAUAUGAACAAGACGGUCUAUCCGUCUACGCACCGCUUCUUACAAAAUACUUUUAGCAUACAAGUAAAACCCGAAAUGGCUUCAAAGGAAGUUAUGGCGGUGGCCAUCAAGAAUGCAGUUUGGCACGAUGUUCCUUCGUUGAUUUCCAAAGUUACGCCCAACAGAACCCUGAUUCCCAAUAAACGGUAGCCUGUCUGAGUCCCCACCGAUCAAUGGCAGCCUAAGUGGGUGGCUGUAAGGAUUGUUUCCCCAGCCAUAGUUCCAAAAGGUUGGAUGGGGCCUCUUCUGCCGCUUCUUAUUGGCCUGCCAUGCUUCUGCAAAUAUGGCCUUCGCGCUCAUGGACCCUCUAGGACCCUCACCAGAAUUUCUGAACUGUACAAACUUCUUCCAAAGACUAUCAUCUGCUGCAAGGUUUCUCAUUUCCUUGCAAGUGCACUCAACCCUUGCAAGAUCGUCCCCAGGUAAAAGAUCCAAGACCUUACUCUUCAGAUCAGCAGGCAGAGCCAUCAAGCAUGGGGGCAAGCGCAAACCAUUCAGCUGGCAUAAAGAUAUCAUCAGUGGCAGGCACAUCUCAUCCUUCAGCACUGUCCACAGAUCAAGAAUCCCCCUCUCCUGCACUGCACUCAGCUGAUCACUAUCCAGAUACAGCAAAGGCUCAAGCCUUGGCAGCUCCAAGCACAAUCGGCGCACCUCAGACUGCGCCCCAGGCACAUAACCGUAUACUAUCACGAAAUUUGGCAUCAAGGAGAAGUUAAGCACUGCCACCUUCCCCUCCUCGGCCACAUGUAACAUCGGUGAAAGCUCCGGUAUGGUAUACUUGAUGGCCAGUGGCUUCGAAGCAACUGGCGGCCAGUCCGGUGGCAGAGAGAGGCGUGACCCCAUCGGAUUAGUGAUGUGGAAGCCGAACUCAAGCAAAGCUGCAUGUAGGGCUGCAACCAGACGACCUCCAGCGGUUCCCUCUGCGCCAACGACGUUCCCCAUCUCCCGCUUGAGAUCCCUAAGCACAAAACUCGACCAGCCCUUCGUGGCAUCGACGGUCUCCGCCAUCACCACAUCCGCAGGACUGGAUGCGGCUGGAACGCUAGGGUUCACGACCACAGCUCGCGCCUGCAGCGAGGAGCCUCCGGUGCUGGGCUUCUCUGAUCCUUUGCCGCCGUCGACAGCCAUCGCGGUCGGAACGGAGCCAGAACCCGGGCUAGGGUUCCGGGGCAGGGCCUGAGCCGGCGGCGCGAGGGCUGUGAGAGGAGACAGGGCGAAGAAGACGAGGUCGCCGGACGCGAGGCCGAGGGCGGGGAGCGUGGCGGCGGGGUCGGGCGAGACAAGCUCCUCGCUGCGGUUGAGGGAGAGGCGCACGGACUCGGCGGGGACGGGCAACGCGGAGAGCUUCGCGGCGAGGAGGGUCUUCACGUCGCCCAGCGUGGCCGUGGGCGGCAGAUCCACGCGGUGGGUCUCGACGGCGGCGGCGCCGCCGCGCGCCUCCAUAGACCGCAAUCGGAGCUUCAUGGUGAAGGGGAUUUUUUGCGAUUUGGAAUUUUGGAUGGAUGAGGACAAACAAUGACUCGAUGAGUCGUCGCGGUGGCGCUGGCACUUGACUUGAGAAAUGGUGCCGGUUGAGAGAACUGGUAGUGGGCCACGAUGAAAUAGGGGCGGUCUGCAGGCCCAGUUCGUGAUGGGCUAGAGCUGGAUCACAAAUAGACCCACCUAGCGCGGUCUCUCUUGUGCCAUCUACAGUACAGGCCCAUCUAGCGCGGUGUCUCUUAAAUAUUUUUGCUAGGGCCACCUCAAAGUGCAAACUUCAAAGGUACCUUUUGGUGCCUUUCUCCAAAAAAAAAAACAUUCUGAUGAGGUAACCUGAAGAGAAUAACAGACGAUAAUAAAAGACAAUAACAGACCCAACACUAGACUAUAUAGACAUGUUCAAGCUUAAACAUGUAUCACGGGUGAUGAGGAAAUGGAUAGAUUUUUUUCAAGAGAGCAGAAAUAGAUAGAUGGAUAAAAAUGUGUAAACGUGGGAAGCACGAGAAUAAGAAAUUGUGGGCAUUGCUAUACCGAUAAGUAACAAGUACACUAUAAAUGUUUCAAUAGAUAAAACAGAGAACCGUCUAGGGGCUUCAAGAUUCAUCUAUGCCAUAAAUGUAGAAUAUUGCGGUCAAACGGUUACCCCGAUUUACUCAAAGCCAAGACUGAAAUUGUUACGGAGCCACGUGUUAUUCUUUAGUCCAAUUCAGAAAACCAUGGCCUUGGCAUUCAGGGUGUUUGGAUGUCGCCCAACCAACUAUUCAUGGGCGAGCAUUUGGAUCGGCGGUGGAGAGGCGGAGAUUGUGGCACCCUGACGCCAGUGUCCACGCGCGGUUGUAUUCCGCAUCCACACUUCGCGAAAUCACGCGUGUAGGAAUAAAUCACAAGAAAAAAUAGCAAGCUGCUGUUUUGACGAAGAUUGGGACGGCGCGCGUAGGCAGAAACCAGACGAGCUCUCAUUCUCCUUAGAACUCCCAACCAUAAUCGUCGAGCUUCUUCCAAAGGUUACCACCCUCUGCUGCAAGAUUCCUCGUUCCCUUGCACGUGCCCUCAACAUUUGCAAGAUCUUCGCGAGCAGUGCCAUCAAGCAAGCAUGGCGGCAAGCGCAAACUGUUCAGGUGAGCCUGGUGGGUCUGCCGGCCGAGUUCGUGAUGGGCUACUCACAAAAUGGGCCCUGCCGUAUGAUGGUCUCUUAACGAGAGACCAUCUCAAGGCCCAGCCAGACAACACUCCUCGCUCUAGCCUCUCAAAAAGGAAGACGGGGGGAAAAAUUCCUGCUCGAGCUGGCAGGAAGAGAAAGUACCUGAAUGACAGCGUGAGGCUUCUCACCGAGCUUGUGUUUGUCCGGCGUGGGGAGAACACUGAUAGACGUGCGGUGACUGCGAUGCGAGACACAAGAGAUAGGAUGAUGAGCAUCCACGAACCUGAGGUCUGAAGGACCUCGUUCCUUUCGAGCAGGCGAAAGCAGCUCUGAUGAAAGCCGAAAGCGGUUGACCGAGACCGACAGGGCUGCAACCGAUACCGGUGGAGCCGAAGCCGAAGCCGACCCGUCCCUUUCACGAAAACGCGACGCUCCAACGACUACUCGCUCACUCGGUCACUCAGCUAGUCUCUGCGAACAGCAGCUGUGGCUGCGCGCGGCGUACGACGACACGCGUAGGGAACACUCACGAGGCCACGAGCAGGGUCAGGUGCAUGCGUCCAAGUACAUCGCUCUGGUUGGUGGCACCGCAACCUGCCUACCCCGUGACCGUCUCGCUGAAGAUUAGGUCAGGGUCUGGCCCUCGAUCGGCUUCCAACCAUCUCUUCUGCACCGUCCUCGCCACGUUCUACUGGCACACUACUAGGGCGGAGGGUUGUUGCGUCGGCAGCCGCCUGCUGCAAACGGCGAGAGGCGGUGACGAUGCACGUGAACUACUGAACUGUAUGUAGAAUGCACGGGUACACACAGGGCGCGGCAGAAUGUACCCCCACCAGCGCUACGUGGUACUGCACAUACAAGGCACGCUGGUGGGUGCACGCCGAGGUCGAUCGAUCGGCGGCCGCGGCCGCGGCCGGGCCGGCGAGGACUCCGCGCAAGACGACACGGGCGCCCUGCCGACUGCUCUCUGUCUGCCGAAGCCGAGCAGGCUCCCGCCCCCUGCAGCACUGCCAAGCCCGUUCCGCUUCCGCCGCAGCGAAGCCGCGCCGCGCCAGGACAGUCGCAGCGCGCGCCCUUUGUCGGCACCCACGCGUCGCCGAGCGCGCGGACCGCAACCGCCAAGCGCGACCCCUGGUACGGAGACGGCUGCUGCUACGCCGGCGCGCGCACACGCGCUCUCGCCUCGCAUCGCGCAGCCAUGCACAUGCACGUUCCGUCCCCACCCCCGCCGCGCCGAGACGCGACACGGGACUGGUGCACUGGUGCUCGACCCCGCCCACCGCUGCGGCCUGCGUCGCAUCGCAUGCAUGCGCCCGCCGGCCGGCCGACGGCUUCCUCCAACGCGCCUCGCGCGGGCGCGGGGUCCGCGUCCGGCCGGCUGCCUGACGGGGGCAGGCCGCCUGCGCGCCGGUUCCGGCGGGCACAUGGGAGCAUGGGACGGAGGAGCCAGCAGCACGGAGCACGGGCAGAGCGGCGAGUCCGCGCGGAGCCAGCGGGGCUCGCUACGCUCGCUAGCUCUAGCUGGCUGGGCGGUCGGUCGGGCGGCUGUGCUGUCGCAUCUGGAGAGGCAAAAGCCAAGGGCUCGCGCGCGGCUGCGGGCGGCGGCGAGCGACCAACGCUUUCGCUGUGGACGCACUGUGCGCGACUGCGCGUAACCCUUCGGGGGUAUGCGGACAAUGUUGAGGGGUCAAACCCGUCGCUUCCGGUUCCCUGCUUUGUGCCGGCAAGUCGCUGGCCGCUCGGCGCAUCAAUGUUCCACGGCGGUAGUGCCGCCCGGCAUCACACCACCACAACGGCCGGGAGAGCAUUCAAAAGGAGCGUCCUUUAAACUGUGGAACCAACUGUGAGUUUUGACCAUUUUUAUCCACAUUCACAAGGAGUACAGCAGACCUAUUUGCUGGGCACUCUAUCAGAAACGCACGUAGCAAAAUCAUGUUAAAGGCCACGAAAUUCGACUGAACCAAAAAACUUAGCAAGAUUUGCAAUGGCAAACCACAUCUACGGCACCGUCCUCAGUUCGUCAGGAGCCAACAUGUUCGUCACAGGACAUGCCAUGAUGACGCCGCAGGUUGGUUGGGACAUGGAAGCAUGCCACGGGAAUCUCUCUCGGCUCCCUUUUGGAAUGAUUGGGGCCGGGAUGCGGGCAGCCCUGCGGCAAAGCUCCCCUCGUAUGGGAAGGGGGAUGCUUAUGAUACUCAUUGCCAUCACGAACAAAGAUGCCAUGCCAUGCAGAGAAAAGCGAAAAAGAACGUGAGGCAAUCCGACCUGACCCCUCCCUGAGGCAGCGGUCAAAAGAUCUUCCACUGUGUACAUAGCCAAGCCAGCGACGACCCCACCGUGAUCACAGAACAAACCUGCCUCUGCCUGCGAGUGACCGUACCAGCAAAGACGAGCCAUCUCAUUUCACGAACCCUUUUCCUUUUCCGUCCAAGUUGCAACAGCCUUGUUGUUUCAUGUAACGUUCAAAAGUGAGCCAUACUACAUUCCAACCAAUUUUCCCCAAAAGAAAGGCUCAAAAGAACGCUACCAGCAGCCUACCACCACUACUGAGAUUGUGCAUCAGCUGUAGACUAAUUAAGGCCGAUCUUCUACUGCAUAGCACUACACCAAUCAACAUGGCAACUAACCAACCUUGCUACUGCAGCUAAUUUAACUAACUUGGUGCUGCCAAUCCUGCUUCAGUUUACAAAAACCAGCAAUGGCGAGCAAGAUUGGGCAGUUACUACUGAGCUCCAUCUGGAUCAGCUAGGCAUCAGCCCAGGCGGCGAAGAAAGGGAGGUGGGAAACGACGUGCUGCGCUGUCGGCGCUGGCAUAGGCAUCCAGGGGCUCAUGGAGGCCAGGCUCACGGCAUUCUGCUGCUGCUUGCCGUAUAGCAUGGCCAGGCCCAGCCUCUCGGGGCUACCCUCCCUGGAGUUGCCUAGGCUUGUCACCAGUGAUGAGGAGUUGGAGAAGUUGACGCCACCAGACUUGCCUUGAACGUCAAGGUGGUGAUCAUGGGCUACACACUCGACGUCAAGCCCAACGAUGCCAUGCAGUGAGGAGUUAGAGUCACUCAUCAUGCCCUUCUGGUGAUCAACUGCUUCUGGGCAAUGCACAGCUUCCUGGGAAGAUCCAUGGAGCACCAUCCUGCAGUUGGCGCUUGGUUCCUCGGUAGGGUUGAGCUCCCUGCCACCAAGUUGUAUCACAGGAACGCCGUUCGCCGCCUCGAUCACCUUGACCUUGCGUGCUUCCUCCACAGGCAGCAGCGUGCUGCUCUCCAAGAUCUUGUCGACAUCGUAUCUGGUUAUGUCGAAGUUCGUCACCGCGUUCAAGCCGCGGAACUUGAUGGCAGCUAUGUCAUAAGCCUCGGCUGCUUCUUCUUGAGUCGCUGCAUGUUCAGCAAAUGAUGCAAUAACGAACUUAGCUGUGAGUAUGGCCUAUGAAAAAACAUUCAUGUAGAAACUAAUUUAGUUUGUGCAUUGAAAAACCAAGAUAGAUCCUAAUGUAAAGUGUGAUUCCCGAUCAGAUUACUUUUAUGCCGUGAUAACAUCAUAUUUUAGUUCAAGUGUUCAAUGGAGCAUUCAAAACAGUCAACAGGUUGCUUUGGUCAGAGGUCACAGCCUUAGGAAAAGUAUAGAAAAGUAUAACUAUCUGAAAAAGCAAAGAAUGAUCAAGAAGAAUGUGUGUGUACCCCACGGAUUAAAGUUGAUCGCAAAAGCAAAGCACAAAACCAGCGAUUAGCAGUAAAAGUUUAAGUUCCAAGUCUAUCUUCUCCGGUAAAUGUACUUUGAUGCGACAAUUAGCAUGGUACAGCAGUCGCACCACCAAAGGAUUAGCACCAAAAGCUUCUUUUACUUGAGAGGCACAUUACUUUGUAGAAGCAUUUAGGCCCUACAAAUCUACGGUCAAAUAGAGAUCUUUCUUACUGAAAGUGCCAAGGUAUAGAUCCUUGUUCCCAGCAACCCUGCCAAUCCGAGACUGCCAUCUUCCUUGCUGGUGAUGCCUGUAAUGCAAUCAACAUGAAUAUAUUGGGAUGGUUUCUACAUGUGCUUUUGCUGUCUGCGCUAAGAAAGCAAAAUGUGCUGGCAAAUUCUGCCCAAACAAACCUUGUCACCCCUCGGUAGAUGGAGGCACCUCUAGAAAACCCACUGCUUCUCCUGUGAUCAGUAACAACUUCAGAAAUGCAGGAAGGCAAUUUGACUUAUAAUGCAUGCAAAAUAGUAAGCACUAACCUUCUCAAGUGCGCAACAAAUUCUUGCCUUGUCAUGUUUUUCAUCUCCUCAAGCUCACCUUGAUAGUUUUCUACCUGCCAAAGAAAGUGUGUAUUACCUUAUUACACAAAUAAACAUCAAACCUCCGGUUUUCUUGGAUGAAACUUCAAUAUGAACACUUACGGGGAAAUUGAUAUGAGUAGCUGGACCCCAGUAUUUCAGAGCAGCAAGAUCAUAGGCCCUUGCAGCCUUGUCUUCAGUGUCAUAACCACCUAAUUCACAGAAAAGAAAUCACAUUUCAUAUUUCUGGAGCUGGGCGUAGCUGACCGGACAAUGAAAGGCAUGAUCGGGUAAGAAAUGUUUUGUUACCUAGAUAUACUGCAACCAAUUGCAUUUCAGUCAUGACAAACCCCAGAACGACAUUUCCAAAAGAAGAGGAAUCAAAAUGUCAGAAAGAGCUAUAACUGCAUAAAUUUUGCUACAUCAUUUAUUUUGGUUGUCUAGAUUUCAACCUUGCCUUCCUUUCCUGGUCUGCCCAUCCUUUCUGCAGCUGUUGUCCCAGAGGUGGGCUUCAUACCUCCCAGUCCACCUGUGCCUGCUCCAGUGGAUCAAACACAAAAAAAACCUUCAUCAUUCAAUAUAUGAAGCGAGCGCAAAAAAAUUAAAUUGGUUGCCUAAAAACCAGGCUAAAUAAUGUGCUCCCAAACAAAAGAGAGGUGCCAUAAUAAUCAGCAGAACUGCAGGGGCACCAGAAGGAUCAGAGAUCCCAGGCUUUAACAUUGUGAAGUGGAACAAACAAAUUAGGAACUGUUCUAAUAAGAUUAAGCAUUAUAACGAUUUGGCGUCAAGCAUGAGUUCCUGGCCUACUGAAUUUUUAAACAAGGAUAGCAGAGCAUAACAGAAGUACAGCACAGCCACAUCAAUGCUGGAGGCUAACAAGGGCAGAACAUGAGGCAAAUACUCCAAAUGAACCAGGAGUAAAUUGAUUUUCACAAGCCGAGCAAUGUGCAAAAAUCCGACCAAAUGAUCAAUGCCGCAGAGGAGGAAACAACGUCAGAGUGUGCGCAGAAGAGUUGCGAAGCAUACAUAUGACUCAGAACUAAAAGAGGCAAAGCAUUGCCCGUACGAAUCCUACUGACGAACAAACGCAACAAGAGAUGACAGGAGGAAAAGCGGAGAUCUUCGUAAGCAGCUUACCUGGUGACACCCCUGUACCGGGAGGUCCUCUGCCCAAACGUGUCGAUGGACUUGCGGUGCACCGGCUGCUUGGUGCCUCCCUUGCCGGUGCCCCUCUUCCUCCCCACGCACUGCUCACCACCGCCAUUACUGUGCCCCUGGGCAGCGGCCGCAGAAGCAGCAGCGGCUACAGCGACCAUCUGCUGCUGCUGCGGAGCCGCGCUGACGCAGCUGCUGGACUGGGACCCGGGGCUCAUCAUCGACAGGCUCAGCGGGUGCAUCUCCCCGUUGCUGUAGCAAGCGCCGUAGCUCGUCAGGAGGUAGUUCUUGGCCGCGGCCAUGGCCUCGUCCAUUGGCGCCGACUCUUCUUGCAGCAUCUCGGCUUCUGUCAGCGGCUGGAAGGUGUAGGGGACGAGCUGGUGGUGCUGGUACUGGUGGUAAUCCCUGCUUGCCACCUCUUCUUGGCCCUGCUGGUGGCUGUAGUAUGUGGCCGUUUCUUGGCCACCGCCAUUGCCACCACCCAAGAAGUCCUCCAGCUUCGGCGGGGACGAUGGCAUCGUGCCUACUCCAUGCCAAGAAGACCAAAAUGUUAGAGAUACAGAUAAUACGAUGUAAAGAGAGGGAGGGAGGAGAAGGGCAGUAUAGUGACCUUCCAUGUUGCAGAGGGAGCCGUCGGACCUGAUGGGCAGGGCAGGCAAGUGGGAGUAGUAGACGCCGGCAGAACUGGUGCCAUCGCCAUACGCGCCGCCCACACAGUAGUAGCCCGGAUAGGGCGUGGCCAUGGACGAGAAGAGGAAGUUGGAAGUGGCAGCGGCGUUGUUACUGGAAGAGGAGAUCGUGGUACUGGAAGGAGGUGGAGCUUGAUGAGCAGGAGCGGGCUCAGAAGCGGAGGGCACCUCCAAGGCCGUGUGCGGUGAGAGGGAGAAGCCGAGCCAGUUGCUGCCACCACUGGCCAUUUCUCCCAUCGACCAUGCAAACGCAAGCCCUCGUUGCUCUCGAGCCCUCUCCUUUCCUUUGUGCUGCGCUGCGCCUGCGCUUUGCUUCACUCGUAUCGCUAACACUAGUCACUAGCCCAACGCUACCACCACGCUCAUGUGAACUGAUGAGAGAGACCCGGGUCGUGGAACCGAGCAAAAGGAAUGAGGGGGGCCGAAGCAAAUUGGUGGAUAAGUACCACUCCUAAUGCAUCUGUAGGCAUGUAAAUAAGAAAUAUCUAUGGCUUCCUCAUACCUAUCCGUUCCAUAGGUUCUUAGGGAUCUGUGACGGGAGACAGAUGUUGCCGAGGAGGAGUGUGCGCGCUAGGGCUGCUACUGCUUGUGCACCCUUUAUUGAGGCCAGGCCAUUAGCCAAGUGCAUGUUUGGUUCAGAUUAGUCACUGUCACUUUAAGAUACAAGUAUUAAAUAUAAAUUAAAAAGGUUAAUUCAUAAUAUGAAUCUAUUAAACCUAAUUAGUCCAUGAUUUGCUACCGUAAAUAUGUGCUAAUUAUAGAUUAAUUAAACUUAAGGCCCUGUUUGGGUCCCUUCAUUUUGAAGGAAUUGGAAUCUAUUUAAUGGAGUAGGCUAAUUUAUGUUGGAAUGUGGCAUUCCACAACUUUCCAAAGUUUAGAUAUAAGCCUAUCUUAAAUUCAUGGGGUGGGAGAUGGAAAUUGAUUCUAUAGAUUAUGGUUAUUAGAAUGGAAUUCAAUUCUUAUAGCACGCUCUUAGACUCGCUUCUCUAUAGUAGAAGUGCAGCAUAUAAGUAUCUCUCCCAUAUCACCAACUAUAAUAUACAACUAUAUUCCACAUACAAUUAUAUUAGCUUAAUUAAUUUGUGUCUAAAUUAUGAUUAUUAGGAUGGAAUUCAAUUCCAAUGAUCCAAACGGGGCCUAAUAGAUUUGUCUCUCGAAUUAGCCACAACUUAUGUAAUUAAUUUUAUAAUUAGUUCACGGGUCCUUCUUAGCCUCCAAACAACGAAUAAAAAACUAAUUUAUAGAUUUAAACACCGCUCUAGUCCCAUGCUGUCCGAAACUCACUCACACAAAACUACCCCUAUAAGGAUGCAAGAAAUUGAAUUGUGAGGUUGCCAUGUAUGGGAUGGGGUGGCCAGCUAUUGCCCUCUCCUCAUCUCUCUCUAUCCCCCCGCCGGUCUGCCAUGCAUGCUGCUCCUCCCUCCUAGAUGUAGCUGGAUGCCGCUCAGAGUGGCCGAAACAAGGCGGCUGCUGCCACAGACUUGAUGGACGGACACGAGAUAGAGAGAGAGAGAGACCGUGUGCCUACUGUAUCUAACAUACUCCUAGAUUCAAAGCGCAGGACAGCUGCACUGCACGCAAAGCGCCAGUCACUUCGCAACAGUACCCGUCCACUGCGCCGCACUGCAGUGUUGCAAAUGCCAACGAACCAACCCAUGAUAAAAUCCCUAGUACCACCCCUGUAAUACAGAGGAGCUCUGGUAUCCAACCUCCCAAGUUAAAUUUUAGCAAAUCACCAGAAAGAAAUUAUGCUCCAAACUACUUUAUAUCUCGAUAUCUAUCUCGCUAGCCAUCCUUCCCUUUAGCAAGCCAAUUUAGCUCGUCAAAAUGUAAGUCCUACGUGUAGUAAUUGACCGAACGAAGACAAUUUAGCUCGUCAAAAUGUAAGUCCUACGUGUAGUAAUUGACCGAACGAAGAGUACAAAAUAAAGAGGCUGUUGUAGUACAAAAUGGAGAGGUUGUUGGAGUAGAUGGAGAGUGCAGAUUUUUAGAGAGGAAACUAGCCGUUGAGAUUUGAAAAGUGGGAAAUGGAUAGUCUGUUGGAACGAGGCAACUUAAUAUAGAGAUAAAUUUUUUUGCCAAUUUAAAUAUUGGAUAGAGAGUUCAAAAUAAGUAGUACGUUGAAGAUGCUCCGAGUGCUCCCUAAAACAAGCUGCUUAACCCCCGACCCGCACAGGAUCGAGUCCAGAGAAGUGCCGGGCAAAACGACGCCCUCGCGCUGCAGAUGAUACCGACGCGUCGGCACGACAAUCUCGUCCCCGGCGGUUUCAGGUUCAAGGAUUGGCUGCGCCGGAAACUUGCAUGCCCCAACGCAAGAAAGCGAGCUCCUGUCACGGCAUCGGUUGCAGCCGCACUCCUGUUUUGUUUUCCUGGCCGGCCGGCCGGCCGGUCGGGGGACGUCGGUCAAACGAACACAGGCGAGGGCAAGGCAGCUCCUGCAGGCGGAGAAGGCCUGUGCUGUGUUGGCCGGUGUGUGCUGCGUGGGUCUUGAUGGCCUGCCUUGCGUUCAUAUAUGUUCCGGGAAUGAUGAGCAAGGGGCCCCAGCAAACCCCUGUGGCGUGAUAAAAGCCAACCAGGGUGGCUUUUGCACAGCACAGGGCACGGCCCUCUCCUAACAUUCUGAUUCCAUGCAGCUUUUGGUUAGGUUUUAGGAGGGAGAUGCCGGAGAUCAGAGCACGCAAUUGCCAAAAAGAGGAAAGUGCAUUUGUCUGGCUCUUUUUUCUUGUUACUAUCAACUUCUUUUGGCAAGCGCACCUUUGGAUUUGAAGUGAAAUGUUAAUCAGACGAACCAUACGUUGAUAACUGUUGCCAAGCAGGCUUAAGCUAGACAAACUUCAUCCCUCUUGCGUGGAGUGAAAUGCUUCUAAGAGAAUUUUUUGGUGUAUAUUUGUCACUGAGAAUUAUUGCCAACCAAGCUUAAAUUUUUCCUGGAAAAUUACUUAUAUGCCACUAGGUAAAAUUUAAAUCCCUUGUAUGCCAUUGUCAUCGUCCCUGAAAGGUUCUACUUGUCAUAAACAUACGGUUGCAUACGAGAAAAUUCCCCAAGUGUCUUCCUUUUGAUUUUAAGGAGAGUCCACUAACCAUAUAUUCUGAACCUCUAUGCUUAUUAGUUCAUCAAGGUUGACGACGUAGAAAGUUAAGUGUAAAUAGGCAAAAAGUACCUAAUGGAGCAAACAAAUGAGGAAAAGAACAAACACCUAGGAACCAACUUAGCACUAAAAUAUCACAUACCAGUAUACCAUCUUUCCAGGAUAAAAAGUCUAAUUAGUACUGCAAAAGAUAUUUGAGGCGCAUAGAAUGGAUAUGCAAAAACACAAGGAAAAACAGAGAGAAAUCACAUGUAAAUCUUAAGGUGCGCUUAGUGCAAAUUAAAGCGGUUUCAGGCCCACACUAGACACUGUACUUUUUGGAAUUUAGUGUGCUCCAUUCAGAAAUGAAUGCUCCUGUUUUGCUAUAAGAAGUGGUACCUCAUCCAGUUCCUUUCCAGUUCCAUAACCAUAACUAUCCAUUCAUUUGCAUCUCAUGCAUGGCGAAUCACCGGUACUCCUUCGGUUUUUAUUCUCAUCAGAACCGGUACUCCAAUGUUGAAAAGUCCAUGGGAUAUUGGCAUUAAACCUCGGUUGCCCUUUCCAGGUAUGCACUGCGAGCAUGUUUGGCAAGUGGAUUACUGUAUCAUCGUGCUUCCGUAGCUAUAAAGCUCUUAAGUACCAAACCAGGCCCACUUCUCUGCCGAUCCUAACCACGAGAGAAUUUGAUUCGUAUGCAGAGCUUUUUAGAUCAUGCCCUGCGUACAACGUACCAGGCCAGCCCCAGCCACCGAGCGAGGGUCCAUUGCCAAAUCAAUUGCGUUUUGCCAAACAAAACAAGGCUGCGCAGCUUCAAUUCUGAAGCUGGUCCUACGGCUCUCAUUCUUUCUGAUCGCAGCAAAAGUUGCUUGCAAGAUCGAGCUGGUCCCUUAAUGAGGCAUGCAACGUCGAGGGGCCCUCGCUCCUCUAUGGAAAAAAAAGAUAUCUCGCAAAGAGGAAUGUGCCUAGCUUGUUGCUCCGGCAACUAAGCGGCUUCUAGUUGCAGCAGGGUAAUCCAGUUUAAGCAUGCACGGGAUGGAAUAAUCUCCCGUGUCCUUUUCCGCGAUGAUGGUGUUCAUUUGGUACUAGCAAAUCAUCGCUUGCCCAUGGCUAGUUGCUGCCGCUUUUGGUUCCUGCCUACCAUUGGCCCCAUGGCCAUGGAACUGACCCUACCAGAUGUUCCCCCUUUCCUGCCUUUAUCUAGGUUUCCCCAUGCCCGACACAUCUUUUGUGGAUCACGUUAAAACAGCCAGAAAUUCUAGUGAUUGCGAUGGGUCUGUGUCCUUCUGCAAAGUGGUAAAUGCAUGGGAGUUGGAUGGCUCGCUUUCCUCCAAAAUUUCAGGCGAUCAAUUUGAAAGUGCCUAAGUAAUCUGUUGAGGUGAGAAAAAAAUCUUACGGGCACCAGAUGGUUCAUUGCAGGUCUAGUUAAAAUUAAUCAACAUUUUGUGACAGUAAGGUCAGGUAACUGAUCAAAGAAAAGUGUUGGCAUCCAUAGUUGCUGCAAUGACCAAAAACUUGUUUCCAUACAAAUUGGUAAGAGACUUACCUGGAGCACAUGGGUAUGGCACGGGGCAUCCGUGACCGUGAGACCAGCUGCUUGGACAUUCUGUUGCUGGCGAUUCCCCAUGCCAUGAUCCUCUCGUCGAUUUGGACCCAAGUCCCUCGUCGAUCAGCCCAAUCUGGUUCCCAAUCGCUCGCCUCCAUCGCCCCGAACUUCCGCACGCGGUACGUGUUCUUCCGCAAUGUUCAGAUCGGGAUCCAAGCCGCCCCUCCCGCUUCGCCCGCUGAGGGGGGCGACGAUCUGAAGAGCCGCCGCCGCCGCCGCCGCCCCUCGCAUUAUCAUCUCGCGGCGGCGCCGCGGCGGCAAUCGCGAGGUGUGCUGCACUGGGGGAAUUUUCCGCUUCCACUCUGGAGCAAAUCACAGGACAGCAAAAAACCAGUACUCCUUUUCUACAGCCAACAAAGUUUUGUUUUCAUUUUCUUUUUAUGGCUGAUGAUGUUCUGUUUAAUUUACCAUCUUCCGCUCCCCCCCCCCCCCACCCCCCCCGGCCCAAAGGUAAUUGUGUUUCAUUAACUUAAUCAUACUUCAGUACUUUUAAGCACGAAUGCAAUAAUACUAGUUUUUUAUAUAAAUCUUAUAUAUUCAUAGAGUAUUAUUCGUUGACUACAAACUUAUCCUGAUGAAACAAAAUAUGCCUCACAUUUCUGGAUGGAGGUGAAAAAAGAAGUACUUGAUACAUGACAAUUAUAAUUUAAAAUCUUAUAAAAAUAAUAUAUUCCUGAAAUAUAUUUAUUUAUGUUAUAUUUAUUUUUAAGAUCAAAUUUGUUUUCAUGAAAUACUUUUUAAUGACUUCAAAUAUUUUGUUUUAGCUCUAAAAUAUUUUUUUCUAAUGGUUUGCCGCUUGAGAAGUUUUGCUAUACUUUUUGUUCAUUUCUUCAAAGUUUGGAAUAAAAUUUAUGUUCAAUUGCAACAUUUUACUUUUAUUUAAAAUAUUUCUUGAUGUCUUGUUGUGGGCCUAUCUUCACCAGGUAAGUUCCACAAGCACAAAAGAGAAGGGAAAAAGGGGUAGUAGAUGUAUUAAGGAUUAUUUGGCUCAUUGAUGCUUUAAAUGGGUCAUAGUUAGAAAUGGCCCGAAGAGAGUAACAAACAAUUCCCCAAGAGUGCAACAAACAAUUAAAAGCUGUGAAAAUUCAUUAAACCUUAAUUUAAAGUAAAAAAAAGUUACCAAAGAAUUAAAGUACAAAUAUAACUUCUAUUAAGGACAUAGUGCCCUUUCACCCAAAUUUAUCACUUUUCUAAGAAUUAAACUAGAACGAAUUUGAAGCUCGACUUUUGCAAUAAAGUUUAUCAUUAUCACAUGAAUUGUAGCUGGACUAAGUUCAAUCAUUCUAACGCUAUUUGAAGUAUGUUUUUAGGUAAUUUUAACCAUUUUCAAUCAUUUGUAUAUUUUCACAUGAGCUGCACCCGAGGCACCCAGGGGGUGUUUGGUAGGGUGUAUGGCCUUUGGGCUAGGCCCGUGGGCUGCAAGGUAUGCUUGUUAUGCUGGACGAGAACACGUGGUUGGACGACACAGUUGCAAAGCAUCCUGUAGAGCUUGCAUCAUGUGGAACGAUUAAUUUUUUCGUUCCAUCUAAUGCAUGCUUGAAGGCAUCAUUGCGGUGACCCCCUAGUGAGUGUUUCUUCUCACCAAUGAACGCAACGUAAAGAGGAUCCCGUGAAAGCAUCUAGACCCCUAACUUGUGUUUUGGUAAUUAAUGACGGCCUUAGUGGACUAACAAUUUCUUUGAGAAUAUGAGCAUAGGUUAGUCCCAAAGUUGAAGUGAGCGUCAAAGGACGCUAUGGUGAUAACUUGGAUGGUUUGCAUGUUGGAAAGCUCAAGGCAAAGGUAUACGAUAGGGUUUUCUAUUUUACCGGUCAAGAGGUGCUUAGCAGAUGUAAAUUGACCGGAUUAAUAGGCUAGAUAGCCGUACUAUCAAGAGUGGUCAAUUUCAUUUACUUGACGGUUCUAUAGUGCCACUUUGCUCAAACAAUUGCAUUGCAUGCACAUGGACUAACAUAGUUUGAGAAAGUGAAAGAAAUGAGAAGAAAAACAUGUUCCAAAAGAGUACUGACUGCAUAAAGAUGGACGGUCCGACCCAAUAUAGGCGGACGGUCAGCCUAACUUAGACAGAGACGUGUUUUCAAAGUUAGAGACUGUUUUUGUGAGGUGAACGGUCCGGCCCUAUAGGCGGACAAUCAGACUAACUUAGACAGAGACAUGUUUUCAGAGUUAGAGGCUGUUUUUGUGAGGCAGACGGUCCGGCCCUAUAUGGGCGGACAGUCCGCCCCCCUGUAACGGUACAGUCUGACACACAUUAAAUGCUGAAGUAGCUGUUGGACUUGAACGACGGACGGUCCGACCCUCACAGACGGUCCGCCAGUCCCCUGUUUUCAUGAGUUUUGAACCUAAUAGCUAGCUUUUGGAAGAGGGCCUUUAUAUACUUCACCCGCGGGGCAUGGGUGAGCUCUCUUGGAACUUUGGAAAGCAUUUGUGACAUCCUUAAGCCUUCUUCCACCUCUCACUCACUCACUUUGCUUAGAGAUUGCAUUCUUGUGAGAUUGAGAGUAUCCUAGUGUAUUGCAUCAAGAGUUUGAGUUUUGUGGCACUAGAGAGUCUUCAAGCAAGUGUUAUUGACCUAUUACUCUUGGAGGUUGCCGCCUCCUAGACGGCUUGGAGAUUGCGGAGCAUUGAGCCCUUCAAGGAAGAUUGUGAAGGAGCCCCAGUUAUUCUUGUGAGGGGUUUGUGCUCACCUCGCCGGAGUGGUGAAGAGCAACACUAGUGGAAUCGAGGUUUGGAGAGGUUCUUUGAUUCAAGCUAGCUCAAACACCAAGCGGUGUCUUGAUAGAGGAGCGGUUGAAGCAUUGAAUCCACCUCAAUGUGGAUUAGGGGUGAUCGGCAAGUCAUCGAUACCACGGGAAAAAAAUUUCAUCUCUUGUGUUCGGUUCUUUCUUUGCUCAAUUUCAUUAUUGCAAUUUAUUUUGAGCAAUUACAUUCUUAGAGAUUGAAUUAUUCCUUGUCACCCUAGGUUGCAAACUCUCACAUAGCUUUAAAGCAACUAGAAAUAGUUUUCAUCUUGUGUUACUAUUUAAAUUUAUUUAUUGUUGUGAUUUUAGUUGAAACCGCCUAUUCACCCCCCUCUAGUCGGUAUCCUAGAUCCUACACCCCGUCCCCACCAUCGAAGCUUGUGGACCUCGACCCCACCGCCGGCAGCCACUGCCCGUGGCCCUCCCCACCACUGGCUGCCGGUGUUCGUGGCUCCAUUCUCCACCGCCGGCACACACGUGCCCCUCCUGCCCUUCCUCCCCACCAUCGGUGCUCGCGGCUCCAGUCCCAACCGUUGUCCACAUCACUCACAACUGGUUUGGAGGUGUGGAGAUGUGGUCUGGGGUCAUGGCAGCGACACCAGCAAGCGGCUGUGUGCCACGACGCGUAGGCUGGUGCUGUAGCCAUGAUGGCGCGAGGGUUGGGCAAGGGCAAGCGGGCACGAAGCAGUGGGGUAGGCAAGCGACAACGGAUGGGACAGUCGAGUGCGGGAGGACGUGGAUGAGUGGCCAUGGUCGAGCCCUUGCGGCAGCGCGAUCGACAAAGAGACAAACGAAGGAGGAGGAAGAAUGAGUGGUGGUAAUUGUAUCUUAGCACCGGCCCACUCCGCGCCGGCCUGUCUACCAGCGCCGGCUCGCUCCGGCCAGCUAUCCACCUCACCCGAUGACAGGCGGGGCCUACCUGUCAUCCGCCACCUUUGGCCAACCGUGCCCGACUCGAACUCGAGUCUGAGCCGGACCGCGUUGCCCCCACGUUGUGGCGCGUACACCUAGGCUGCCUCCCCGAGCCUAAAAAACCCGUCGCCGCCCUCGAAGCCCCCACCAAACCCUAGCGCCCUCGCCUCGUACCCAGCGCCGCCGCCGCCGCCGCCCGAGCUCGAGCCCUACUCGCUAGCCGCCGCCGCCGAUCUCCUCUAUCACCGUCUUCCCGUCGACCACAUCAUCAGCCAAAGCACCGCGAGAAGGUGAAGAAGCUUCCUGUGAAGACCCCGUGCACUCGCGUGCCUUUUUCGUGUGCACGGGGUCGCCGUGCCGAGCCGCCUCUUCGAGCCACGUGCCACCAUCGCCACCUAAACCACCGCAAGAACACCCUAGUCACGUUCAUCAUCUCCCUAACUCACUCUUGAGCCAAACACCAUCGCGAACGGUGGCCGGAUGCUUGUUUUCGAGCUAAUUCUGGCAAGGCCGCCGCUCAUCGCCACCGUGCGCUGCCACCUCCAUCUUGGCCGACCGCCGCCAUCCGAUCGAGCACCAGCGGCUUAAAUCUAAUCUGACCGAAGUCAAUACCGGUCAACCCCGCCCCUGCUCUAUUCUUUUUUCUAAAGAACCCAUGUAAAGUUUUACAGUUUUUGCACUCAAGGUUCUACUCACUUCAAAAGUAAUUAGAUUAGAUCAUUUUUCUUCUAUUUAGACCCCUGCUCUUUUAUAAAAUCCCACCCGCCAUCCUAGAUCUGUUCUUUUACGUGUUAGACCUUCUAUUUAUAUGUUUAAUUAAAUUUUAACCCUCGGUUUCUUUGAAGUUAGGUAUUGGAAGUUUAGUUUUCUCGCAUUCAAGCCCCUGAACCUUGUUUAGCUCAUAUCUUUAGCAUUUUAAAUCCGUUUUAAGCGAUUCUUGCGCCUAUGAGUUUGUGUUGACGCAUAGAUUAGUUUUAUGAUCCUAUUUUGCUAUGUUGCUACUAUUUGCUAUAAUGUUUUAUUAUUUUAAUUCUUUGUUUGCUUGUACGUACUUGUUUGAUGCGCAUAGAAGGAUCGCCGAUCGAGGGAUUCGAAGAGCAAGACUUUGAAGACUUUGAGCAGCAAGAGCAAGUUCAGGAAAGCAAGUCAUGUACUUGAUCAUAAUUUGAUCCUAUGUGACCUUUGCUUUUAUGUUCAAUACAUAUAUGCUAUGCACUUUAAGUAUAUAUAGAUGAUGGGUCCUAUUUAAGGUGUGACUAGUUUUAUCCCUGCACCUUGAUCAAUCUGGGUUUACUUUAAUGUUGGGUAGUUCUUGCUUAGUUGCUCUAACUGAGUAUGGUGGUAUUAAUGAACCAAUGCUUAAACUUGUUUUAUUUACGCUAUACCUUCCAUUAAUACAAGAUCACCAUACUUAAUUGAAACAUGAACAACCACCCAUGAAAAUAGUACAACCAUAAAAAUUACAUGGCUCUGAUCUUGGCUAAUUAAUUUGAGACUCUAGUCUGGAGUAAUCUAACCGAAAGGGCAAGAGGGGAGGCGUUGAUGGGGUAUAGCCAGGCCCUCAAGCUGAUCUGCUCUAUGGUAGCUUAGCAGUCUUGAGAGAAGUUUAUGCUCUGCUUCGACCUGAAACCUUAGCGGGUUACUACUUAUUAGGUAAUUUUUGUAAAAGCUUCGUAGCGUCUCUAUGCAAUCACACCUUGAAAGUGUGGUAUUGCGCUUGGCCCGCACAACAUGAUUGGGUCUAAAAUUCUUUUGAACUUUUACGCGACUUGUGGUGAAAGUGUACAACCUCUGCAGAAUGUAAAAUUAUUAUAACAGUCGUGCUCACGAUCAAGAGCGGCCUCGACCCUUACAUGAUUAAUUUAUCAGAAGUUAAAUUAAAUUAAUAUUAUUUAUUGAUGUUAUCUUUAUUUAUGUUCAUUCUUAAUGUACUUAGUAAUUGCUAAUAAAACUUGACCAACCAAUUAAAAUACUGAAAUGCUGUUAAACUUUAGCCUAUCCUUGAAUAGCCUUACACUACACAUUUCUCCAUGCUUGCAGAGUAACAACCAUAAGUGUACUCACCCUUACAAAAAUCGCUGCUCAGACCAAGUCAACUUUGAGAAGUUUCCUUAAGACUUUGAAGAGUUCUAAGCGAACGUGUGCCACCAGUCAACUGCUCGUGGAGUCAUCGUCAUCGUUGGAGUUCCGCUGCUAGAAUAAAGACUCGAUUCGAUAUUCGAAUUAAAGAUUUUCUAUCAGAUAAUUAAUUUAAUACUCUCUCUUUACGUUUUGGUAUUGUAUAUAAUAUUUAAUGAAGUCAUUGUAUAUGUGAAACUUGAUCCCGAUGCACAUAUAAUUUAUUUAUCUGAUUUUACCUUUAAAAUCAGGUGUGGGAGAAAUCAGCGGUUGGAUACCGAAGGGUCGAGACUGGUGCUGGAACUUGGAUGGCCGAAGGCAUAUGCCUGAGUGCCUGACCGCCUGCAGCUGCUGAAAGGCAAGCGUGCCGGUUGGUCCGUCCCAGUUGCCAAGCAGGGGCACAGUAUGUUCAAGUCAAAGACCACAAGCGCAAGGGAUCGCAGUACAAGAUUCCGAUGGGGUGGAGGUGAAAAUGUGAAAUCCAUCAGAUCAUCAUCAGGGCACCAGGUAUAUGCCCUGUACCGCUGUACGAAAUAGUGAAAUACAGCAGCAAGACGAAAAGGCGAACAGGCUGCAAGAUCCUUUGUCUCUGUCUCUAGCAAGAUGUACGCGCAAGAGUUGAAAAUCUUUUGUCCAUCGAUGCCCGUAUAUAUUUUUCUUGUAGCACAUCACGCAGCGAUCAGAGGUAUCUCCGUGCUGCCGUUCGCAUGACGAAGCUUCACUUGCGUGGUUGACCGCUAGUUUACGCGCUCGAGGAUUUGGGUUAUCAUGCAAGCAGCAGCAGCAGCAGCAGUGACAGCUUGUUGAUCGUGAAAGUGUCCACAGGUGAUGAAUCGUGAGACAAAAUUGACGUCGCCUGUCACAAGUCAAGACUGAGAUAGAGCAGUUUGGUAGACGUGACGGGGCUGAGCGCGGCAGGGGUAUUACUAAACUUAAUGUCACAUCAUCAUAUUCGAAAUAACUAAACAUGAGCUAAUUAUAAAACUAAUUACAUAGACGGAGGCUAAUUCCCGAGACGAAUCUAUUAAGACUAAUUAAUCCAUCAUUAGUACAUAUUUACUGUAGCAUCACAUUGUCAAAUCAUAAAGUAAUUAGGUGUUGGAGGGAAAUAUUAACGACAUCCUAAUGCCGCUUAAAGCAACAGUCAUGAAGGCCCAGGCCCACCUGCGGUAAUUACGACUACCGUCGACCCAGUAGAGGCAGAGAACAUCCCACACCGUCUCGCCCGACCCGGGGCCCCGGGGUCGGACAAUCCCGACCCCUCGAUGGCGGGACUCCGCCUCGCCCGACCGCGGUCCCAGGGUCGGGAGCGCCCGACCCCUCGCCGCAAGGCUCCGCUUCGCCCGACCCGGAGUCCCGGGGUCGGACGCUCCCGACCCCUUGAAGACUAAACUCCACCUCGCCCGACCCAGGGGACCGGGGUCGGGAGCGCCCGACCCCCACCACAGAAACUCCGCCUCGCCCGACCCUGGGCGUGGGGGUCGGACUCGCUCGGGUCCACAAGACGAAUAUUCGGCUCGGGCGCGGACUGGAGGAUCAGGAUGACGAUCUCGUGGGUCCCCCUAUCGACCUCGCCAUAAAUGCGCCGCGGCCCUGUCAAGCCAAAAGGGAGCGGCGUCCCCAACGUAAUCGGUCCCGAAUACCGAUGCGCGGCCGUGCGGCGUGAGCUGCAGUGGCCGCGGCUCCUUCUGAUUCGCCACAGAGUACUCAUGAGCUGCGCCAAACGGCACAGGAGGGCGCAUCGCUUGCUCUCGCGCCCCGUGCUCCCAACGGCAGUUUCAGGGAUGCGACGUCCGGGUCUUACGGUAAUUAGCAGGGCAACAGAAUCGGACCUCCUCCCCGGCGAGCACGGAUGCCAAGGCUGAGGCUCAUCAUCACGCUCGACGGCGACGGCGACCAGGGAGAUCAUCGACAAGAUCGGGAAGGAAUCGCCCUCCCUCGCCGGACGCGCUGACAGGGAUCGGAGGCCGGAGCAAGAGCGGCGGCCUUGGGACCUUCCCCUUGUAUUAUUUUUCUACUUAGCUUAUCCUUUCUACCUCUCCUCCGGACGCCUGGCUCAACUGUAACCCCGAGCUCCUUCUUGCGCUAUAAAAGGAGGACCGGGUGUCCUGGGACGGGGGGACUGAGACUCUUUCUCUGAAGCAAACAGUACACACUCACACUCCCUUAGAGCACAAGCAUGCUCAAGAGACCUGGGAUCAGUUCCCUCUCUCGCCCAUCUGUAACCCCUACUACAGAACCCCGCGUGGGUAACACGAGCAGCCUCGAUACUGGACGUAGGGCCUCCUUUGCCCGAACCAGUCUAACCCCGUGUCUCCCACGCCACCAUCCGAAGCCUCACGCGCAUAAAAGAAAUCUACUAGUUUAGAGUCUCGAUCCGCAAAUCUUGACAACAACAGUUGGCGCGUUAGGUAGGGGACCUUUGCGCGUACAUCACCGGCUUCAGAUGGCCAACCACGACGCCGAUUCCAACGACGAGAGUCACCACCCCUCGCACGAGCGCUCCAUGGCCGACGUGCGCUCCGAGGGAUCCAACGACGACGGCGCCGAAGGGAAGCAGCGCGCUCCCCCACUGCGCGCCGCAGCUACGACUGAGGCCCUUGUCAGGGUCGCCCUUGUCAGUGUCCCGGUGCCCCACCAGGAGGACGAGCACCGCCGCAACGAGGGCGGGGCGCGUUAUCGAGCCCGCGACGUCCAGCGGCGCAUCUGCGGGGACGAGGGUCAUCCCCAACUCUUCGCACGCGCCAGCCAGAAUGUCGCCGCUGCGGCAGCCCUACUCCGACGACUCCCCGAUCCGGCAACGCCCGAGGAGCGACGGGCCCGCCAGAAGGUACGCGAUUUGCUUGAGUGUGCAGCAGUCCAGCAGGCAGAAAGCUCCGCGUCCCGGCGCUGCACACACGGCGCCAGCAGGGUCACACCCUCUGCGCCUAUCAAGAGGCGUGGAGGAUCUGCCCAUCAACCUUCCUCCCAUGGGGGAAACCGGGCCUCGCCCAUUCGACGGACUCCAACACGUGCGGGCGAUGGGGUUUCAUCCGUCCCUCGCCGUGUCGGCCCCAUCCGCGAUGCCCGUGACGCCUUGGACACGCGGAGGCGCUCCCGUGCGGACAGGGAGGAUAGAGCCGACCGUGGCUACCGCGUACACCGUGGUGGUCGCCACGACGGUGGAGAAAAUCGGAGCCCAAGCCCCAACCCAACGGGGCCCAGGGCCUUCUUCGCACGCAUCCUGAACGUGCCGUUCCCAGCGCGCUUCAGACAGCCCACCAAUGUGGCCAAAUACUCUGGGGAAACGAACCUCGGGCCUUGGCUUAGCGACUACCGGCUUGCCUGUCAGGCCGGUGGAGCGGACGACGACCUGUUCAUCAUUCGCAACCUCCCACUGUUCUUGGCCGACUCGGCGCGAGCCUAGCUAGAACAUGUCCCGUCAGGUCGGAUCCGUAACUGGAACGACCUAAGAGAGAUCUUUGUAGGGAACUUCCAGGGCACAUACAAGCACCACGGGAACUCCUGGGACCUCUGGAGCUACCGCCAGGAGUCGGAUGAGACUCUCCGAGGGUACAUUCGACGCUUCUCCAUGAAGUGCACCGAGCUCUCCAACAUCGCCGACGCCGACAUCAUCGGUGCCUUCCUGGCAGGGACCUCCUGUAGAUCUCUUGUCCACGAGCUGGGGCGUGUAGGCCCACAGACCACCAAGGAGCUCCUCGACAUCGCCACCGACUUUGCCUCGAACGAAGAGGCCGUCAGGGCAAUAUUCGAUCGCUCCGAGGGCAAGGCAAAGAGGGAGGAGGAUGCCGACGAAGGCGCCUUCACUCACCAGAAGAAGAAAAAGGCCGCGGCGGAACCCCGAAGGCUGCGGAGGGGCUCAAGCACGACGACGGAUGAGGACGAUGACGAUGAAGAUAAGGACGAUGAUGAAGAAAGCUCUUCCGCUCUAUGAGGAGUGCGCGGCAAACGAAGUAUGAGUCGACCACAUCUAUUGCGACGUCAGGUACAUCCCGUCACCUCCGCCUUUCUCCGGAAACCGUACGCACGAUCUCUUUUUAACCGUAGAGACCACCGCGCCUCCUAUCCCACGAGCUCGGCGUUUUCUGCCGCUUCUACUCCCGGAGGUCAUGCGCACAACUUCGUCUGCAAGCGGACCAGGACCCGCUCCGGGUAAAAAAGGGAUACAGAGCUGAAAACGCUCUUACGGCCCAUUACGGUCCAGGGGUUCGAAGGCUGGCCCUCUAGAGGGUUCGAAAGCUGCCCCAGGACAUCCCCCGAGCAAGGGGUGAGAAGGGACGGGUCCGCUAGCGGCCACCACCCAGGCGAGCGAAAGCCAAGGGCGUCCCGACCUCACGUUUGAGCCCGGGCUGGCGUCUAAGUUCAUGGUUUUUCCUCGAAGAAAGGCAACGAGCCCCCGAAUCCGAUCGAACGGACUCGGGAACUAUAUGAACUGGCCAGCCGGAAUCUGGAGUACGCCACUAGCUUGGCCCGAGCCGGACUGUGGCGGAUCCACUUCGGAUUUGCUUGAUUAGUCAUGAUUAAGCCGCCUGAUAUGCGACUCUCAUGCCUUAAUCAAGUAAACACGAAGUGCCGUCGGAUUUCAUCCGAUUUAACCACUUGAACAGGACCAAAUAGCAAACUCACACGAACGUGAGCGGUUUCAGAGAAACAACAAUUCUACCGAGUUAGCAAAAUAACCAUUUAGUUUGGCCAUAAAAUAACAUCAGAGUUUACAAGGUUCAGAAGAAAAACAACAGAAGGUAAAACAACGCGCGGAAGCUACUUCCUCGGGGUCGGAUAUCCCUGGUGAGGCCAACUGGGACAUCAGUGAUCCCUCUCCUCAUCGUCCGAGGAAGGAUCCCACUCAACCGUCCAACCCGGAGGGAGUUGGGGUGGCCAAGUGCCAGCAGAGGGAGGCUCAGAGGCAGCAACUUCACCUGAAAAAGAAGAGCCACAACAAGGCUGAGCUACUAAGCUCAACAAGACUUAACCGACAGGGAGUACGCUACUCCAACACUUCUAGACAUGCAAGGCUUUUUGGCUGAGGGGUUUGUUUGCCAACAGCGCUAGGCGUAUCCCUACUUUCAGGUUUUAGCUCAGGUUCUAAGUUCAUUAUCCGGUCUAGGUUUGCAAUCUACUCUAAACAGACAUAGAACCAACCAAGGUAUAAACAUCAUCAUCAAGACCAUAUCAUCAUCAGAUUCCUUUAUUGCUCAGGGUGACAUAGCGAUCAAGCAAUCUCAAACUGUGAGAGGCAGACGAAUCGAUUCGAGUUUCUUAACCAUGCAUGGCGAACCUAAUCUCACGACAUCCGCGCACCACAAGGGUCGCUUCCUGUGUCGGCCGUCCCCAUCAAUUCCCAGGCGCGUGUCAGGUCCAAACUUCCCUUGGCAUGCAAUGCUCCACAGUCCCGGUCUCUACUGUACUGUGACCGCACUUGUACCCACAUGAUGCACCAUGGGAACCUCGUUCCAGGGACAGCAGGGGUAUAAGCCACACCCUAGUUCAAUCAGGUACUAGGCUUCCCCAUCCCAUACUAGGUAUGAGAUUAGUACUUUCAAACACUUGAUCACGAACACCACCACUGUCGGGCCUUAACAAGUUUCAUAGACAGACGGGGCGAUCAACCGACCACAAAAGAGUUACCCAAAAACCCUGCCCCGUCCAUCGUCCUUAUAGUUGCAACAGAAGAGAAAACAACCAAUUCCUACAACUCGCGAGUGACAGGAAAUCACUCGGCUUUUACCGUUUCCUAUUUAAGCAAAGCAUCUACUCAGUCCAACAGCUAGUGUUCAGAUCAAGGGAGCUAAGUUAUGCAUCUAGAGUUCCAAACAACUCCUAUACGUAAAUGCACAAGCAUGUUAAAGAAGGCAUGCGCAAGUUUGGUGAAACACAGGGGAUUCAUGCAUCCGGGGCUUGCCUUCGAGCAAGGAGGAGGGAAGCUGCUCGUCUGCUUGGGCGGCUUCGGCUUCUGGAGGCAGGAGCUCGGCUACACCUUCGUCUUCUGGCGCCGGGUGCAGCUCGUAGAAGCUGUCGGCGAGACGCAGCUCUACACGAGUGCAAUGCAUUGGUUAGCAUUUAGACGGUUAUUAAAACAGCAACACUUGCAAGUUUGAGCCCAGAAACUUGCGGCAAGUUACAGGAGGGUGGGGAGGUUCGCUUGAGUUGGUGGAGACCAAGAUAAGGGUCGGAUGGGAAGUAACUUAUGAUCUGACCCUUAACCUAUAGGAAUAGAUGUGCUAGGGAUCCUCAGACUUAACGCUGAAAAGUCCCUAAGUUUUACACAUACACCCUCGGUUCAAGUAAAAAGAUACAGCCGAGUCCUCGGGCGAGGCGGAGAAAGGUCGACGGAUAAGACAGGGUCGGGUGAGAUGGAACCGGGGUCGGGCGGAUAGGAGGCGUCGGACGAGGCGAACAAGGGGUCGGUAGCUUACCUUCGUCUUACAUAUGAGGCUUGGGGUCGGGAAAGAAUAGGCUUGGGCGGAAAGACUAAGGCUUGGGACAGCGGCGAGGAUGUCCGGUGGUAGUCCGGCGGCGGCGGUGCUUCUUGUGGACCACAAGCAAGCUCUUGUGCAGCACGAGGAGCAGUGGCUGGUGGAUUGGGGAAAAGGUGGGGGUUUGAGCGGAGAGGAGAGUUCCUUAGACUUAGGCGGUGGCGCUGUGAGCACGAACAGGGAGCAAACGGGAGGGCAGCGAUGGCAAAGGGGAACUCCGGUGGGGCUCCGGCCUUCCCUUUUUAUAGCUGCGCGGAAGAGAGAAGGGUGAGCGGCGCGAAGGCCGGGGAAGAGCGAUGGAGUGCUCUGCCGGUGCGACGAUUGAACGAUGAGGGCGGUGGAGCAGGACUUCGGGGAUGACACCAGCGGUCAUUGGGCACCGAUGUCAGGGCGGCGCAGGCGCGGGUUUGCCGGUGGUUGAGAUUUGGCAGAGGUGGGCGUCGUCGUGCGGUGGAUCUGAUGGAAGUGACCGGGGAAACGGCGCUAGAAACAAGGGCGCACAGGUGAGAAGAUAGGCGACUGCGGUCGCGCGGGCGAGCGCGGAGCAACAAAUUAUCGGGGCGGAGCUUCUGACAAGGCGGAAAAGGAGCUGUCGCUGCCACGGUCUGGGUUGGCGGAGGAGGAAUCGUCGCGUAGCGAGGACCGGGGCGGCGCGACUGUGGAGGGGUGACGGAAAAGACGGGCGGCAUCGGGCUCUGCAGCCGGGAUCUGGCGAUGUGAUGAUGGGCGCGGGCGGCGAGGAGCUGCAGAAAGGGUGGCAGAGGAGCUUCCGCUGCGAUUGGGGAAGGGGGCGCGAGAAUCCAUCCGGUCGUGGCCGGUGACGAGGCGGAGCGGCGGGCGUCGGAGAAGUUGAGCUACGCGGCAAGGGAACUCUGAAGCGGGCAUGCAACUCGAGUGCGCCUGUCGCGGGAGAUCUGGGAGAAAGAUCUCGUGGGUCCAUCGGUCAGUCUUGGUGGUCCACGGCUCAAAUUGAAGGGAGGCGUUGCGGGAAGACUUAGAAAGAUCCGACGGUGGGUUGGGGGUCGGCGGGGUCGGAACUGGGGAAAACACGGCGAGGGGUCGGAUCACCGGGGGUCGGGAGAUCUGGAGGUUGAGCACUUAGGCUUGGUAAACUGAGACAGGUGAUCAGGGACUCGGAUUAAGAUUAACGCGAAGGAUUUUAACCGAGGUCGUUACACGGACCCCCCCGAACGUGGACCGGGACUCCACUCGAACCGAUCUGUUCGCAGCUCAACGAGCACCACGGUUCGUCCAACGAGGAUAGCAUGGCACAGCUCAUCCCCUCCGUCCCAGCGAACGGAUGCUUGAAGGGUAACGAUCAAAAGCCGAUCUAGCCUCCCGAUCGGUCUCUUGCAACGCGCGGGGGCUCGGGGGCUAGCGUCGCAACCCAUGACCACGCGUGUGGUCGCGAUUUGAGGACUCGAGGCGGGAGCGCCCUACGGAGCAAUGAGGAGUCCUCCCGCGCCAAGUCAUCCACAGGACACCUCUCUUAAUCAAACUCCCUAGCCCAGCCGGACCAACAACACUCCCUAUCCCUGAUCAACCGUAGCUUGCAGGGCGAGCAGAGAUCCCCGACGAGCGACGAAAAAAGCCUCUGGAGGAGCAUCUUUGCUCCACCACAGGCUCGGGGGCUACUGUUGGGGGGAAAUAUUAACGACCUCCUAAUGCCGCUUAAAGCAACAGUCAUGAAGGCCCAGGCCCACCUGCGGUAAUUACGAUUACCGCCGACCCAGUAGAGGCAGAGAACAUCCCACUCCGUCUCGCCCGACCCAGGGCCCCGAGGUCGGACAAUCCCGACCCCUCGAUGGCGGGACUCCGCCUCGCCCGACCGCGGUCCCAGGGUCGGGAGCGCCCGACCCCUCGCCGCAAGGCUCCGCUUCGCCCGACCCGGAGUCCCGGGGUCGGACGCUCCCGACCCCUUGAAGACUAAACUCCGUCUCGCCCGACCCAAGGGACCGGGGUCGGGAGCACCCGACUUCCACCACAGAAACUCCGCCUCGCCCGACCCUGGGCGCGGGGGUCGGACUCGCUCGGGUCCACAAGACGAAUAUUCACCUCGGGCGCGGACUGGAGGAUCAGGAUGACGAUCUCGUGGGUCCCCCUAUCGACCUCGCCAUAAAUGCGCCGCGGCCCUGUCAAGCCAAAAGGGAGCGGCGUCCCCAAGGUAAUCGGUCCCGAAUAACGAUGCGCGGCCGUGCGGCGCGAGCUGCAGUGGCCGCGGCUCCUUCUGAUUCACCACAGAGUACUCAUGAGCUGCGCCAAACGGCACAGGAGGGCGCAUCGCUUGCUCUCGCGCCCCGUGCUCCCAACGGCAGUUUCAGGGAUGCGACGUCUGGGUCUUACGGUAAUCAGCAGGGCAACAGAAUCGGACCUCCUCCCCGGCAGGCACGGAUGCCGAGGCUGAGGCUCAUCAUCACGCUCGAUGGCGACGGCGACCAGGGAGAUCAUCGACAAGAUCGGGAAGGAAUCGCCCUCCCUCGCCGGACGCGCUGACAGGGACCAGAGGCCGGAGCAAGAGCGGCGGCCUUGGGACCCUCCUCUUGUAUUAUUUUUCUACUUAGCUUAUCCUUUCUACCUCUCCUCUGGACGCCUGGCUCAACUGUAACCCCGAGCUCGUUCUUGCGCUAUAAAAGGAGGACCGGGGGUCCUGGGAUGGGAGGACUGAGACUCUUUCUCUGAAGCAAAUAGUACACACUCACACUCCCUUAGAGCACAAGCACGCUCAAGAGACCUGGGAUCAGUUCCCUCUCUCGCCCAUCUGUAACCCCUACUACAGAACCCCGCGUGGGUAACACGAGCAGCCUCGAUACUGGACGUAGGGCCUCCUUUGCCUGAACCAGUCUAACCCCAUGUCUCCCACGCCACCAUCCGAAGCCUCACGCGCAUAAAAGAAAUCUACUAGUCUAGAGUCUCGAUCCACAAAUCUUGACAAUGACAUUAGGCUUAAUAGAUUCGUCUCGCAAAUUAGCAUCCAUCUGUGCAAUUGGUUUUGUAAUUCGUUUAUGUUUAAUACUCCUAAUUAGUAUCUAAACAUUCAAUGUGACAGGAAUUUUAGGAGCUCCUAAAAGACCAAACAGGAUCCGAAAGUCACUGCUUACCUGCUGGAGCAUGGAAAAUUAGGGGUGCAGCAAGGAGGAAAGGCGCGGCCGGGGGUUGAAGAUGACCCUGACGUGCGGGUCCCACACGUCAGUGGUAGAUGAAAGGGGAGAGAUCUCUAACAUGGAGAGGGCUAGGUACCAUUGUCAUUUUUCAUACUCAAUCCAUGUGCAAGGACUUAGCCUGCGAUGCAAGCAAAAUAGAUAUAGAUUCCAUUUUAAGGAUAGCACCGUGCAUCCAAAAGAUAGAAAAUGGUUACGAGCUCCUUUGUUAGUGCUCCCGCUGCAUCUUCUCCUGUAGUUUUUGCGGAAGCCCUAACAAAUAGAGAAGCAAAAAACGGCUCCAUGGAACACUAGAGGAAUCGUAGCCAUUUUCUAUUGAGAAGUCGGAGAGAGAAAAAUAGCUCCUUUGGCUGCUCUAAGUUUUAGGAGGAGCCAAAGGGGAUAACUAUACUACUUUAAGCUACCUGCACACCCGCCCUUCGCUAGUCGGCUAGUCCCUUGCCCAUGACCGGUUCUGAGAUUUGGGAGGUCCGGAGCGAAAGUAAAACUCGAAGCCCUUUAAUAUAAACAUUAUAACAAAUAUGUAUGAAAUAUUACCAAUAAAUACUUAAAUGUAUCUAAAUGCAAUAUUCAUAUCAAAUUAUUUAUACAUAUUAUCUUAAAAGUUUCUUCUAACAUUUCUCGAUGCAAAGUCACUUAUGAUAGGGUUGAUAUCAAUCUCACCCAACAAUUUCUUCUCGAUGCAUAAUGUUGCCAAACCAUUUAACCUCUCUUGAGUCAUUGUUGACCUCAAAUAGUUCCUCAAUAACUUCAUCUUUGAAAAGCUUCUUUCAGCCGAUGCGACAGUCACUGGCACAGAAAAUAAGAGUUGGUAAGCAAUGGAGACAUUAGAAUAAUAAUCACAUCUCUGACAUUCUCGAAAAUCUUCAUAGCAGACAUUAUGCCAUCUAACAAAGUGAAUUUCAUAAUCUUUAAUUCAGAAAUAAGAUCAUAUACCUCAAUAUCAGAUGGACCAUCAAAAGAAAAAAUUUCUACAAAUUUAGUGCAACAUUCUUCAAGUUCAUUAUCAUCUAAUGACUUCAAAGUGAUUGAGCUCAGUAAAAAUCCGAAUAUAUCUUUAAACACCAUGAGUUCUUCAAAUCUAAUCUUCAAAGAAGUGAUCGCCAUAUCAACCAAAACAAAAAUUUCACUUCAGAAGUCUUCUCAGCUUCAAGAAUUUCUUCUUGGCAAUUACUUUCAUCAAACUGUUUCUUCCUCGUAGCAUGACAUUUUUCUAGAAAUAAUACCUUUACACCCAUUUCUGUUGCAAUACCUUUAGCGAUGAUCAGAUUAGAAGAAAACCCCUCAUUUCUGUAAUUCUCAAAGUAUUGCGUUAUACCUUAUAUUUGCUACAAAGUAGAGUCAAUGUACAUGGUUGACGAUUGCAACUUCUUGCUCACUUUAUUUAUAGCAAAUAAAAUAUAUUACCAGAUAACCGUACCAAGUAGAAACUCAAAACUGCCAAGUGUAUCAAAUAAAUUUUUUGCAUCACUUUUAUCCUUAGGUUCAAUGUUAGAAGCAUGAUGUAACUCAAACAAUAUCUUAUUGCUGUAACACUUUUGAUCCGACUCUCCCAACGAGUAUUGGACAAUGAUUUCACAGUUAAACUAGCAACAUGUUUAAGCAAAACAUUCCACCUUUUCGUGGAACCAGCAAAUAAUACAUAUAUGCGCUGAACAAUUCCAAAAAAUAAACAAUUUUCCCACUAGAUUUUGCCAUAUCAUAAAGAGUAAGAUUUAGACUAUGGCACGCAUAUGGCAUAUACAAUGCUCUUGGAUUGAUAUCAAUUAACCGUUUUUUACCCCUUGUGUUUUAUUUUCAUAUUAGAACUAUUAUCAUAGCCUUGACCCUUAUGUCACUAAUAUUUAGGCCAAAGAACUCCAUAGAUUCAAGCAAUACAUUAAAAAGUUCCAAACCAGAUGUGUCAUCCACCUUCUAGAACCCCAAAAAGUACUCAAUUUUUAUCUUGCCAUCAGACAAAUUAACACAUCGAACUAAUAAAGUUAUUUGUUCUUGAUGAGUGACAUCAGGGGUACAAUUUAGGAUAAUGGAGAAAUACUUGGCCUCUUUAACAACCUUUAUGAUAGAACUUGUGAUAUUAGAAGCCAAAAGAGAUAUUAACUCAUUCUGAAUUUUAUGACUGAAAUAAGGAUAAUGAAUUUUUUUGUUCUGAAUACGUCUAAGGUGGUUUUGCAUUACCAAGUCAAAUUCUGCAAUCAUCUCAGCACAAGCUAAGAAAUUUCCAUUAUUAUCAUUAUAAAGCUGCUCACUGCUUCCUCUAAAAGCCAAAUUGCGCCUACCAAGAAAUUUCACAAUGACUAUUAUUCUUAACAAAACUUGCCUCAACCAUUUUUUCUCCUCUGUGAUUUGCUGCUGCAAUUCUUUGUUAAUUGUUUCUUUUUUCCGCAGUCUAGAUCUCAAUUCAUUCCAACUGUUCAUGUUACUAAUACUCUCAACACUAUAUUUUUCAUGUUCUCUAAGCUUCUUACUGAUAUGCCUCCAAUUUCUAAACCCAUCACCUGCUAAGGAACUAGGACUCUUGCUAGUGCUAGACUUGAAGAUAUUACAUCAAAAACAAAAAACUUUAUCAACAUGCUUCGAAUAAACUAACUAUUUUUUACCAUGUACCUUUUCAUUGCUUAAUUUUCUAGAAUAAUGAGCAUAUGAGUUAUAAAUCAAUUGAGAUUAAAUAACUUGUGAUAGUGAAUUAAUAAUUAAUGGUAUGGAGAAUUAGGGAAUUGGCAAUCGAAUCACCUGAUCACAGAAGUGAAUUGGCACCAACCGCAAGGUCCGUAAGCAACAAGCCGAUAGCCAAGAACCGGCGGCGGCAGGGGUUCUCCUUGCUCACCGAGCGCUUCCUUGCUAUGCGCUCGUUCAGGAACACCACCUCGUGAUCACUCACCGUGUGCAAUUGCAUGCACGCACGCACGCCGCAGAUUGGUCAAGACCAAGAAACGACGACGGAGUGCAUGCCGCGGCUCGAUAACGAUCACCGGGGUUGUGCGCACAUGUGUACAACGCGAUCGAGUAGCGUACCUGAAUGCCGACGCAAUUGAACAGCCGGUCAUCGACGCGCAUGACGCGACGGCGCAGCGGCAGCCCUGGCGGCGAUCGGGAGUACGAGUACGAAGUUGGAUCUAAUAGCGAUUUGGGCAAUAAACACACCUGAGCUGCCCGGGAGAGCCGUUGGAUCGGAGCCGCAGGAUGGACGUGAACAGACAUUGACCGUACGUGGCAGGUACGCAAUCGUAAAUUUAAAAAUGUAUUACGAUUACGUACUGAAGUAUGUUUCGGUUCCAUGUACAGGACAGGACGAUUGCGUCGCGUACUCGCGUCGAUCCUAUGUUCGUUUGACCUGGGUGGGGCCCUGGGAUUUGGGGACCCGGGCGGCCGCACACCCUCCCCCCGGGGCGGCCCUGCCCUUGCCUCCGAUCCAGCAUGGCUGUGAAGGACGGUCACAUUUUUCCCUCAAGGUACACUAGUGUAAGUCCGCCGCUUGGCUAUAGCCUAUAGGUUGGGCUAAGGCAGCUAUAGCAAGUCACGAUCAUCUCAAACAGUUCUCGCCGACGGCUUUGGCUCACUCGUUGGAAAACGCUGUAGAAUCCAUGGUCACUGUUGAUGCGCGCGGUGGACGUAUAUUGCCAGAGCGAGACACAUCCUGCAUUGAUUUCCAGCUGGGAACGAACAGAUAAGAACACGGCACGAAAGAAGUGUGUCCGAACGCAAAAACAAGAACUGGGUAGAGCAUUUUCCUCAGAACGCGCGCAGCAGUGUCAGCUCCCACCCACCCGAACUUCUCAUUUCUCCAGAGUCAAGACCAAGCCGUCGGCAGUCGGCAGGGCAACACGCACACAGAUCCUGCACGGUCCGUCCAUCCACUCCAGCGGGCAUGUC
rnacentral:lncRNA from 1 species